rnacentral:lncRNA from 1 species
CUUCUGCCGUCAGUGUUAUUUACAGGGAAACUAAAAUGCUCCCAAACAUGUGACUUAAAUGAUGGAGGAGGUUUUUCCAAGUUCCUCCGCUAGCCAUGACUACGCUGUUCUUGACAGGUGAGUGUGGAUUGAACAUGCGGCCUUUAAGUGAACACACGCAACAUACAUGCUGAAAUGUGGAGCGGUAUCCGUUAGGAUCAACAAUGAUCCAUUGCACCACUAGUUUCAGCUGACAUACUAACAAACUUCGCCAAAAGUUGGCUAUGUUUGGUCACCGCUACAGCAAGGCGACUUAUUCUUGCCAGAUCACCCAAGCUUGAUGUUUCUGAGACUGUAACUGCGUUUCCAUUACCCAUAGAUUUGCGCAAAACCUAAAUAUUGUGCGACCUAAAUAAAGGUCGCACGGGCAGGAAGUUUACCUCGUUGCUAGGCAACGGCCAUUCAAACACAGCUCACAAGAGGCAGACGGCUCGCUUAUGCACUGAACACCAUUCAAUGGAAACACCCGCAAAUCGCAAUUGUACUUUGUCGAAAUUUGAUAAACAUCGCUUUUAUUUUGCGAAAUAAUGUUAUGGAAACGCAGCUUGUGUUAUCUGAUGCUCUUUGGGGCUUUAGCUAAUUUGCUCGCCUAAUACAGUCAACCACAGUGGGAUGUAACAGUAGCACACACUUAGGCUUAGCUUUAGCAAGCUAAUUAACUUGGGAUCACUGAUGUUAGCCAAACUAAGCUAUCACUGUCACUCAACGGUUGGUUGCUGUGGGUUUUUGUCAGGUGGUUGUUGCUCUAAGGUUUACUGUUUAAUUCUAUAGGCUAAAGAAGAGAUAUGUCUUUAAUGUUGUGAGAGGGAUCCAGUUAAAGCUGUAAGCAAGUUCUUAAAGACUGAGUGCUGGGAAGGGCGUGUUUGAAUUAUUGUUCCCAUUUUCCCUGAUUUGUUGAAUACCUACUCUAGAAACUUUUUUGACAUUACUUUCACCAGCAAACUUUGUACUACAAAUUGUUGUAUAAAAAAGCAAACGCAGUAUAAAUCUAAUUUCUCUUUCUGAUACCAUUAAUGAUAAUAAAAAUGAUGCCAGUCAUGGUAAUCAGGCUCCAGAGACAUCACUUUAAUAAAGCAUUGCUUCACAGAAAAAAAUUGAAUUUCCUGGUGAUUUCAUUUGCUUUUCUGAUCAUGUGGCACAUGCAUUUAUCAAACAUUUUUUUGUUCUUCCACAUCCAGAUUAACAUUUUGAUAGAGACAGUAAGCAGAUAUGUGGAAGGAGGAACUGAGUUCACCCAGGAUGGAAAUAGAAACUCAGCAGAGAAAUGAUUGAACUUCCACAGGAGACUUAUUGGAUGUAGAGAGUUUAAACUUCCUGACAGGGUAUGGAGCUUGUCAGUGCAGUCAGCUUGUAAAGUUUGACAGGAAAAAGAAAGAAAGUGACGAAUUUGUCCACCCUUUUCCGCCACGGUAAGUAGAUUCAACAGCAGCAUCGUUGAUUAUUAAAUUUCAUAUGGUAAUUGAAGCAGUUUGGAGUUACUUCUGAACUGUAGAUCUUUGCUCUGCACUAUACACUCACGGUCAAAGCUGGUAAUAAAUUUUUUAUGUGACACAAAGAACUCCGCCGAUACGUCCUUGCUGUUCAGGAACUUUCAGCGUGUCACACCAGCAGCAAAUACCCCACUGAAAUUCAAAUGUGGUGAGUCGCAGUUAUCUUUUUUAUGGGGAUUUAGAUAGAGCUGUUUGGAGUCGGGGUUUCCCAUUCAUUUAUUCUGCCACCUUUGAGCCGCUCAGCUGUAUUACUGAAAUGAUGCAGUGUGACAGUAAGCUAUUUUUAUCCCCCCUCUCCAUCGUUUUUUAGAAAUUACAGCUGAUUUACUGUGGAAAAGUCAUAGAUUUCCAACCAGCAGCACGUGAAUUAGAUAUAGUUCAUAACAGCGUCUUAGACUGCCUAUUGAGUUUUGUUCCUCUGUGACCUGUAGAUCAAAGUAAUGGACUAUCAGAGGCUGUGCACGCCAAACUAAAGAGGCUUGCAGCUUGGAAAGGCAAAGGCUCGAGCUACAGUGGGAUUUAAUGGUUUCAGGCCGGUUCUUAAUUAUAGGAUAGUUUCCCCUGAGUAAUAUCUCUCAUAUGGGAGCGGAAGGCAAUUGUACAUUUCAAACUGAUCAAUACAGCAGGGUGGUUUGAUUAAAAGUACAUGAACAGUCUCCAUCAAAUCAAUUAACGCACAGUUAUUCCACUGGCAGCAAUGCAAUAAAUCGGACCUGAAAGUUUCUGAGUACUUCUAAAUCACUGAUUCGUAUGCGUGUCUGUGUGUGUAUGUGUGUGUUAUCUUUGUUGUAUGUUAAGAGGCGUUUGCUUCCAGCUGUCUACCUACAGUCUCUCUCUGUUAUUGAGAGAGUCUGUGUCCUUAACAAGCAGCUCUUGAAGCUCUCUCUGUCCUCUGUGCUACUGUUGACAUCUUGCACGAAUGCCCCGAUAAUGGCCCAAUGACUUUUUGUUCCGACCAGUUCAGCGGGUCAGACGUGUCAUCCAUUCCACUUUGGUCCGAGUUGGUAUUGAUCUGCGGCGUCUUUUUUUUUUUCCUCUUUGCUGGGAUUUCUUCAGCAGUGAGAGAAAAAUACUCCUCUCCCUGCAUAUCCGGGGCCACACUCGACACAUCUUACAUCCAGACAAGCUGUAAACACUGAUAUGAUGCAGCUCGAUAGUGAAAAGCACAGCUCCAAAUGUUUUUGGAGUUAUGAGAUCUUAACUCAGAAAAAUAAAAGUUUCAAGCUGUGAAGAUGCACUUUCUUGAAAUGUGUUGCUCAGAGACUCAUAGAUUUCUUAUAAUGGAGCUAUAAAACACCCAUUGUAUCCCAGAAAAAGAUUGAACAGAGUGUUGAGAUAUUUCUCAAGCUUUUUAAAGAGAAGGUCGUUUUAAAUGACACGCUUACUUCCACAGUUUCAUGUGGGAUUUGUUGAAAUCUGAUGUGAAAGGAUGACAAAAUAACUAAUAUAGAACCUUAUCUCUUUAAAAUCCAGGCUGCACUCAUGAUUACCCUCUAAUUACAAACUAUAUCAAAUGAACGCCUUUGUUUGAUCACGCUCCAAGUUCCUGUUUCUAUGAGCAAUUAUGAAUUCAAGCAGAUGUGCUACAUACUAAUGAACAAAGACCAAUAAUUAUUAUAAUUAGGAUAUUUUUAAACUUUAAGGUAGAAAUACAAAAACUUUUCAAAGCUCUUUAAAGUAUGCCUUGAUAUCUUUAAAUUGGUAAAGGAUACAUGUCGUAUCACAGAUGUUACCAAAAGUAUAUAGCGGAAAUUCUUGAAAACAUCUGAGUAAACAUGUGAAAGAAUCUGCAGUUCUACAACAACAUGCAUGCCAGCUUUAGCUUCUCAAAAACUCAGACCCCAUUCAUUGCCAGAUAAGAGUCUUAAAGACCCACUCUGAUAAAAAUCAUGUUUCUCUUGUUGACCAUUUGUUUAUAUGGUAUUUUUCUAAUGCUAGAGGAUAUCAUGAGAAAAUUAAGUGCAAAAUUUCUGAAUAUAUCUGCAUUAAUGGCUGUGAACCUCUGGCAGAUCCGAACAGCAGAUUCAGACACAGUGACAUUUCCUACAUCACAAGUCCAUGCUCUGCCCCUGGCACCCCGCUCUGCUGGCCAGACCCCGAGAAGUAGAGAUUGCGGAUUGCAAUGCUCGUACGAAAGCAAAUUAUGAUAUUAGCUUUCAUCAGGCCCCCCCAAAGUCAUUUGUGUUGGAGAGCAGCGGACAAGGUUUCUCGGUGGGGGAGGGUGCAGAGCAGCGCUGCCUCCGCUCAUGACUCGGAGGUGAAUUGCUAAUGAGCUACUGGAGCUCUGCAGAAGACAAGCGCCUGAAAAUUACACAGGGAACGUGAUUUACAAUUCACGUUACCUGUGUGUUACACAAUUCUUCUGGGAACACUUAAAAAAGUAAAAAAAAACAAAAAACGACAUACGUCAUAUAAGAUUCUAUCAUUCAUAAUAUUCAAUGAAAUGGUUGGUGUCAGGAUGUGACAACUGCGACAGAAAAGUGCGUCAUAGUUUUGUAAUCCACUGUACUCCUUCAUAUCGACACUUCUUCAAUCCUUUGAUCAUUCUCUAAUUGUAAUGUUCACUUUAUUUUCUAGCCUCUUAUAAAUACAGUCUGCUUUUUCACACUAGAAGUGCACAUUUUUUUCCUAGAUCGGAAUGAAUAAUUUAGCUUCUAAGUGAGGUUACUCUAAAAUCAAAGAUGUAGCUUGUCUGGUGUAAUUAAGAGCCUUCUUUAUGACCAUGUUAGAAGUGCUCUGUCAACUCAGUGUAGUGAGCCUAAAACUCAUUUUUGCAAGUGUUUCAUCAGUCGUGCAUAAUGUUACUUUGAUGCACAUGGCAGACAAAAGUGAGCAGUAUUAGCCUGAUUUCAUGUUAAGGUUAUUAGGUGAUUGAAUGACAAGGUUCGUCCUCGCUUGCAGACUGCUUACUGCUUGACAGUAUACUUGGAGUUAGACAGUCUUUUUCACUUCUAAAUGACGACACUCUGUGCAGUCAGAUCAUACUUUGGAUGAAGAUUUCCUUUUAACAGUUUGUCCUUGAUACAAAUGGGGAUACAUUUUGAUAGGAGGCCAAAGGACUUAGGAAAAACCUCAGUAUUUGCUGACCGGUGGAUAAGAAGCGUUUGUAUUGUCUAUGAGCUUCAGGUGUGACGGCGAGCUGAGUGGAGCAGGGAAACAUAUGGCAUGCAGGAUGUUGCGCAAUGAACAAAAGAUUGGCAUUGUAACCACUGUCUUUCAACAUCUUUCAACCUCCAUAAAAGAUGUUCCCUUUCUUCUGCUUCUUAGGCUGACUUCAAACUGGAAGUAUGUUGGUUGCAUGACAGCAACAGGGUGCGGCAUUGUUUUUUUUAAAGCCAAGAAUUACUACUCUAUUUUAGGUAAAGCAUAUCAGAGGAUGCUUUGGGUGUUAUAACAGUUUAGGGAUGAUAUCAGCUAAGCAGAAAGGGGCAGGGAGAUGGAUGCAGAAGAGAGGGAAAGAGGGAGAUAUUGAUGAUGUUGUUUUAUUAAUCAAAAUAACAUAGCUGCAGCCAAUGUGAUUUAUGACAACUUGAUACACAAUUUAAAAGGAUAUUCCGGCAAGUCCAUUAUGGACUGCUGCGGGGUGACGCAGCUCAAGGAAGAACAUUUAUGAUCAUUUUUUAAUAAUUUCUUUGAAGUAAUAAUCAUUAUAUUAAUCAUUUUACACUGCAGACGCUGUAGUUCUUCUGCCUUAGCGUCUUGGUCUGAUUGCAUUUCCAUGAAGAAAUGAUCAUAAAUGUUCUUCCUUGAGCUGCGUCACCCCGCAGCAGUCCGUAAUGGACUGGCCCGAGGUUUUGUUACAAACAAGUGGCUGCUGGAAGAGAGUAGGUGAGUUGUGUUUAGUCUCUUUGCUAAAGGAACCAGGCAAAGUUAAAAAGAUGUUUGGUGGCUAGUGCUGUGGCUAGGACCCUAUAUGUACUGUUGAUGAGGUUAGGUGCUGUUCUGAGCAUUAUUUGUGGCUAUAGAGUGGCUUUUUGGUUGAGCGUGUGUCUCUCUGUAUUGCUGUUGUGCGGUCGUUACUAAAGUUGGUAUAACUUGAGAAGCAAGUGGUCGACAACAUUCAUCUCUCGAGGGGGUGUCUAACUCGGUGUUAUGGUGUGUUUGACCCUAAAUUAAUUUUAUAUCCCUUUAAGUAGAGUCCUGAAAAAAAUAGAUGACUUAAUUCACCAAACUAGGUGGAUCUAUCCACUGAAAAAAGAACAGAUCAAGCUUUUGCUCUAAGUGUAAGUUUGAAAAGUAUGACAGUCAACAAAACUUUGACAAGAUAACAGUGUAAGAUCUUUGCAUUCUUACUAUUUCAUACCAUAUUUGACAGAGUAUCAGAGCCCAGUAUCCACACUGAUAUAGCCACAGGAUGAACUGUGUUAUGUGUUUGGAUAAAGUCCAAGCCUGCCGUUUUGUUAGCAGGUACUUUCAAUCUCCGAAACCCAGAGAAAUAAAAGAAAAAUGUCUUACUGUCAUGGUGCUCAGAGGUGAGCUAGUUGAGACAGUCGGCUUACUCGAUGACUUUGAGAAGUUCUACAAGACCUCAUCCAGUCACGCAAGCAGGAUGUGAGCGAUUCAAGGCGGACAGAGAUAUCAUCCAUCAGCCACUUCACCUGGGCCUAAUGGCUUGCCGCAGACAGCCAUGUUUGACUGUGUGUUUGAUGUGCUCACACCACAUUCCCACCUUCUCUUUUCAUGUCAGAAUAUCAGCAGGCAGCAUAGUGUCAGGGCUCACAAAUGGAUUUUCUAAUCCACUUGUUUGCUGGUAGUUCUUUCAACCCUCCCUUGGUUUUGAUGCCCAAGCCAAAAACAUACUUAAACACAAGCGUUGCCUUUAGACUCGUGUCUAUCUCACCCCUCCUCCUCCCCCACAGCUGUCAGUGCGUGUUUUGACGGGGGCUGAAACAUUUCCGUGGCGGAGAGAAACAGAUGCAGGAGGGAAAGGCGAAGGACAUCAGGAAAGCUCAAAUAAUGAGAUGUCAAGCAGGGGCAGACCAUAAUUGUUAAUUACAUUUAUUCCAGUGCUUUUGGAUUGCAGCCAUAAUGCUUUCAGGAAUAUAAAGUGGUGUCCUCAACAUGUUCCAGGUUCUGCCUUUUAAAUGGGCCCUGAGUGAUCAGACCUGAAACUCAAUAAAGUGGAGCCCUAUUUCAAUCUACAUGCAGGCUACACACGGCCAUAUAAGGAGAAAAGACAGACUUUUAAAACCACUGUGGACAAAGUACCAACAGCUCUCCACUGAAUGAAAAAAACAGCUGUUAAACUGGCUGCCAGUGUGUAAAUCAUCCGCUCUAACAUACACAAAUGAAUCCCUCUCUCUGUAAGUGCACAGAUAUCUCUCUGUAAAACAUUUUUUAAAACCCUAGAAAUAAAAAAAGAAUAGAAAAAAAGAAAACAAACACAUCUCACCAUUAGAGGAGAGUUUGAGCUCUGCGGUGUCAAGACAUGGUUCACAUGUUUUAUUUGAGGGCUUCACGUCAAGCUGCAAACAACGCCGAGGGUGUUUGCUUUGCCUUGGCCAUGUUUGCUUGUUCUGCGCUUUAAUUGACACAUUAAGUGACCUUUCCUCAACUUUAAACCUCCUCUUGAACUUGCGCUUACCAUGCUGCCGGCGAAUGGCGAUCGCUUUUUCAAACAUCUGAAAGUAAUUAAGAAUAUGCUGUACGAGACUUGUAAGAGAACACUGGAUUUCACAAGCGCCUUGUCCUCUGGUUAAACUCCAGACAACCCUUUUUAAAAAUUAACUUUUGACAGUUUCUGACAAUUUCAGGACUUUUCUGGAAUUGUGGCUUACACUUGUAGCGCCUGUCAAGAGAUUGUCAGUGUGAAAGGCUGCCAGGGUUCAAAAUCUCCUGUUUGGAUUUUAUAUGAGAAGUUCUGAGAAGAGCUUGAAUAGAAUAAACAAGGGGUAGGAGUUUUAAUGCAGCAGAGAAAAAUCCAUUAAUGUAGCAUGUAUGAGUAUGCAGGGCUUGACACUAACUUUUUGAAAAAUGCAGUCCAUUUCAUUUCUUUAUUUCUUUAUUUAUUUCUGGACAUGGUUAAAAAAAAUUUAUAUAAAAAAGACACACAAAACAACAGUUAAGAAUAAAAUAAAAUAAGUGCCCCACUUAGAAGCACAUCAAUCUCACUUAUCACAACAAAAUAAGAACAACAACAAAACCAGAGUAUCCACAUGUCCAAAAAAGGGGUAAGAAGAAGUCAAAGACUUGUCUAGUCUUACCCCUCUGUUACUGAUCUCAUAUAACUUAACUUAAACACUAUAACUAAAUGUUUUUAAGUUGAAAAAGUAAAGACCACACAGAGAACUUUAGGGGCACAAUGAAAAUUCAUCAAAUAAUGUUUGUCUUAUUGGUUGACAUAAGUACUAUUAUUUAAAAACAAAUUUAGGUCGGAAGCUCGCGAAGAAAAUUUUCAACAUUUGCCUUUAAAUUUAACACAAAAUUUUUUAGAGGACAAAUUAGGGGAAAAAAGAGGUGUGUCUUAUUGUCCAAACUUAGUACUAUUAUUUGAAAUCAAUUUUAGGUCAAUUGGUCACAUGACAUUGAAGCUAUUGAAGGAAAACAGCCUUUUUUAAGAACAUCAACCGGUAAUUUAUUGAUAGUCCCUUAUUCAACACCAAAUGUUCACAGCAAGAGUGCCCAGUAGAUUUAACCGCGCUGCUGCUGCUGCUGCUUGCCUCGGCUGAAUUUUUUUAUUUGCACAUGUGCCCCUAAAUACAUUUUACAAAUCGCACACAUCUAUUUUUAGUCGCAAAUGGGAGUGACACGGUUGCACUGUCGAGCCCUGGUACGUCUUUGCAAUCACACACAAUGGUUAGAAAACUUGUUAUCUGAGAUAAACAGUUGAAAGAACAAAGCAGGAAAACUUUUUUUUAAAAACACCCUCACUUCACCCACUUGCUUGAGGUGAAAUUUCAAACAUUAUAUUCUGUGUUUAUUCAUUAUGUUAACCUCAAGGUAGGAAAAAGUCAGUUUAAAGUCCGAGUCACCUUCACCCCUCUAAGACGAAGUCAGGAAUUUUCAAGAAUGCAUUUGUGAAAGGGGGUUUGUGGUUUUGUAUUGUCAGUUCUCUUAUCUUCUAUCCUGAUAAUAAAAACACUUCUUGUGAGUGUUUGGCUGAACAUCCUGCCAGCUUGCUGCCUUAAUUGAAUUCUUAAAAGAAACUGUCAAUCAUUCCACUUUUCUGUCACUCCAAAUGUUUCCGCAGCAAAGACAAAGACUCAGGAGAACUACAAACAAGACUGUGUUUUGGAAUCAACAACUCUUCCUCUGAUGUACAUAUACCUUCCUAGUUUAACUUGCCACCCCCAAACCAUCUGCUGUCAGACACUGGUAAUUAGUUUUAUGGUGUUCUUGGCAGCCAGAGUAUGGCUCCACGAUAAUUACCCUUUUAUUGUUUUUGUAUUCUAUUGUUAAUGUUGUUGUUGUUUCGUAGCUUGUCCUAAUUAAAAGUUUUGAGCUUUGCAGAAUUAACACAGUCCGCCCUUUUUGUCCUUCUAAAUGGUUUAUCCUGCAGAGCUUACAUUAAAGAAUAUGAUGGAUGGAGAGAGGGACAGGAGCAGAUAUGGCAAGGAGCCGGGCGUUUCUGUUUUCCUUUUUUUUUCAAGGGCUGUAAUAACUAUAAGAGUCCUCAGGUUGCUGGUACGUCUCUUUCUCUCUGAGGAGAAACUAUCAAUAUUUUCUACAAAAGCCUGUUUUUGUUUGUGGGGUUUUUUGGCGUUGAAAACAACCUGUGUCUCUCCUCUCUUCAGAUGUCUCUGACAUUCCUCUAUUUCCUUCUGCCAUGCCAUCCCCUGAGUAAAGCAUAAGUCAAUAUCCUCCCUGUGCCUCUCAUUGUGCUGUUUGUUUUAAUGGCUUUUAAGUUGACAGGCGGUCAGAACUAGCUUUACCGGUCCUUCAAAAAUGUGUUGUCUGAAAGGUCUCUGGUGCAAAGCUUUUGGUCAUCGCCGCAGCCAAAUCCACUUACACACCACCCGAUAAGCUCUCUCAUUCAACAGCGCACAUUAAUGUGAAGUAAAAGCUCUUGAGAUUAAAUGGAAGACUAGGCCGACUGAGACCAAACCCAAGUGAUAUUGACAAACAAAAAUCCAUCUUGAUCCUUUUGAAAUACAAAUCUUCAACAGUGAGACAGAUUGAAUGAAUACAGUAUUGAUUUUUUAAGAAUGAUAUGGGCUAGACACAGUUUCAUGGGAGACUGCCAGUUUUAAGGUUAUGCUAGACAACUUACACUUUGUUAAACUCUGUGGAUGUCUGCUGGUCAGCAACCACAUCACUGCCGACAUGGCGAAACAAAGAUAUAAAGAUCUUGCCUGACACCUCCUCAAGGAUUUCACUCUCGAGAAUUAACCGCCUUGAUGAGUCUUGUAUUUUUCCACUCAUAUUUGACGUUUGCUUUCCUCCUGUUAUGUAAAAAACAUUACAUUUCCACACAGUCAGAAAUAAAAAAGAAGUUUUCAUCCUGCUGAUAUUCAGAUGUGAAAUCCUUGAGCAGCCAACACGCAUUCAGGAGCUGUGCUGUCUCCUGCUACCCUCAGUUUCCAUCUUCUUUCUUCUUGCCAUCAAAGUUAGUUUUGUGGUUCGCGGUCAUUUCGAGACGCCGUUAACUCAAAGCCUGUCAUGCUGUUUCUCUCGUAUUGCACUGACUCCAUGGUACAUUCACACACUGGAAAGCCUCUCCACUAAUAACUAAUAGGCUAUUGAUCGGCAUCUCAUAUGCAUGUGAAAGGAAAUAGCCUAUGUGGUCAAACUAUGGAGAGGUUUAAUAAACAGGCCUAUGAUAGUCAGCAUCUCUAAGACAGAAUUCAAGAGGUUAUAUUUAAUACAACAAACAAGACUAUAAAAAUUGAUCCUUCGAUAUGAUCUGCAACAUUACAGGUUCAUAUUUUACAGAACCCCUUCUUUAUCGGGCAUUAAAUCAGCCCUCUUUUCUUCCAUAGAAGGGUGUAUAAUAUAAUGGAAACAGUGAAGUUCAAUACAAUCCGUUAGUGAGAGAAUUUGUCUGCUGUGUUUUUCCUUGAUUAUGUAAAUCAUAGACUCAGAAGAAGUAGUAUUUCAGCCUCUCUUUCGGUACAGUUGUUUGCUGUGAAGCAGUAAGGGAAAUGUGUGAUACAGCCUGAAUGACUGAUUACCAGAUCUUUAAAUCCCAGUCCAACCUGAACAAUGUCAAACAUGUAUGUUAUGCACAGUUACAUUUUUAUCUGACUCCAUCAUUUGCCAUUUUUUGCACAUUUUUAACACUGUUGUUUACAAAAAUGUAGGCUUGUCUGUGAUGUAAAAACAACCAAAGAACUUGUGUGUAUGUCCAUGUGCACAAGACGUGUUUAGCUAUAUUUUCCUCCAGAUGUUAACACCAGGCCAUUUUCGCCCGUAGCACUUGAAAUCAUGACUACAUUUUUUCCUCAUGAAUUGGUAGACAUCCAUGCUUUUUAGCUAUAAGAUGAUGAUUGAGGCAGUCAGCUGUCACUUUUAUUAAAAAUCUAAAUGUCAGAAAGUGGCCUUAGUGAUCCUGAGGUCAUUAAUUAUUUAUAUCAACUCAGAAAAAUUGGAGUCCUCCAAAUCUUCCACCGGACAACUCGCAGUUUCUCUAUGUUAGGGACGUGCUCAUGUCGUCGACCAAAUGAUUAAACAUCAUCACCUCUUUUAUUGAUGCUCUGCUACCUUGGCGAGUGCAGAUGACUGAUGGCAACUUUCACUGUGACACUUUUUCAUUUUAAAAAUGGGAAUAAAAUCAUAAGAAAAGCUGUCCCUGGUUAAACUUGCUUGACUAAAGUGAUAUAUAACCAUCAUAGAUAUGAGGGCUACCAGCAAAGACUGAAGGCUAGCUCUACUGUUAGCCAGUAGGGAUGUAACAAUAUAAUGAUAUAACUACUCAUGAUAUAACUACAUCACAAUAAGUGUUUGGGUUAGGCGCUGGGCGAAGUGCGUCUCGGCAGGGUUAAAAUACACUGAUAUCAGCACAACAAGGUAAUUAAACACUAAAGGCAAGUUUAAACACUCAAAAUAAAAAUAAACAUUCAUCAAACCACCAGAUGUAGAUUAACGUUAAUGCUCUUCAAUCUUCCGGUCUCCAGUGGGUUGGGCGAAUCCAAAAUGGUGAAGAUAAGGGGGGUGUUACGUGUUACUUGUUACGUGUGAAACAAGGGUGCUCUAAAAACACCCCCAUUAGCACUUGGUAUGUUGCUCCUGAUGAAAUUAACCAUAGACUGUUAAUUGACUCGGGAAAAUAAUCGAGUCGACCAAUCAGAAUUUUGGUCGACUCAGCAGGUAUCGACCAAUAAGUCGACCAGUCGACUAGGACUUUACAGCCCUACUCUGUAGUUCCACUCUGCUUCACUACAACUAAAACAAAACAACCCUUCUCACCUGGAAGUUUCAUACUGUCACAGUUCUACGAUGGUACCAGGACACUCUUGGCCAUACGAUACCCUGAUACUUCUGAGAUAUUGACAAUACUGUUCCGUCCCUGUUAGCCACACAUUGUUUACCCACAGCCACUGUCGUCUUGCGUUUAGCUACAUGAGAUAAAUUGUGCUCACCUUUGGACUACAAAUUAAAAACACAAAUAUCCAUUAAAGUGCCCUAAGAAAUUUGCCACUUGGGGACUUUUCCAACACUACUGUAUGAUCAUGUUUUAAAAGUCAACUGAACCAUGAUAUGAGAAAAUAAUUCCAGUUCUGAAUCCUAUUUGUCUUCAUACAUCCCAGACCCUUGCAACAAAUUUAUUAGGAAGAUUGUGUUUGUGUAAGUUUAUCUGUAAAUUAGCUUUAGUUAUUCUCCCUUCAUUGAGCAGGGAAACUUAAAUUUACUUGAUCCUUUAAUUUCUCUACAUUCUUCUUCUUAAUAAGUUUGCUUUCACAUUACUACACACCCAUUGUCCCGAAAUGCCAUCGCGUUACAUAUUUGCUCUGGCUAAUGACCUGUGCUAACAAGUAAGAGGGCUGCAGCUAUGUCUUUAUUUAACACGCGGAGAGUAAUGAUUUGCGCUCACGGGGGGGCUUCGUUGAGGGCCGGACAUCUCCGUCUGUGUCCUUUAAUAGGGCCUGUCUCCAGUGAUUAGGGAUUGUUGACAGGAGAAGUUGUAGUGCCGAGCACCAGAUGGGCCCCCAGUUUCUUCUCCCCAUUUAUUACCUCCUACCUAAUCUAUGCUUAUGCUAGAAAAUCACCAGCCUGCACACACAUGCAUAAAUGAACACAAGCUUUUUUCUUUUUGCUCAUUAUGUCAAAUAUCAGAUGGCGAAGCAAACAUUGUUAAGACAUGGGGGACAGCUUGGCUUCCUUUCCUCCCACGCCUCUAAAACUUCUGGGUCUUAGGGCCGCACUGGCAAUCUCACUCCAGCUCCCUCAUCAUUACACGACAGUUCACAGCACAGCAUCGGGAGUCCUCUAUCCUGAACCAGGCUGGAACCAAACUAAUUAGCCUGUCAUUUCUAUUCUCUUGUCUUUGAGGCGGCUGGAUUUUCUGUGAUUAGUUUCUUCCAUGUCAUUUCCAAAAUGGUUCAUAGGCCGCAAACUCUUUUCUGUCAAAAUUAAUCAACAGUGUCCUUUCUUCUUCAGAUAAAAAAAGAAAAAAAAAUCCAGUCCUUGAGCUAAUUGUGGAGAGAUGGCUCUGUCUCAAAGUCUUUUCCCUCGCACAGACAAAGAGGUCUAAUUCUCUGUUUUGAAUUGCUGAUAGUCGCCUUCUUCUCACGUCCUCCCCUGGGUCUCUAGAGAUCACACCCAAGUUCAGCAACACUCAUAACCCUUAGCCACCAGAGGCUGUAAUUGACCUGCACCUUUUGACUUGUGCUUGUACACUACCUGUACGACCAUAGAGUAGCAGACACGCAUAAUGAAUAACUAUGCCAUCCUCUGGGUGCUGAAGGAUGAAUUAAUUUGUAUGAAAGUGAAGGGUUACUAACGGGCAACCAAAGCAACUAACACAAGAAGAGCCCUGUUGUUUUGCUGUAUUCCAAACACACACAUUUUUGAUUAUAUACGUUCCUCCCAAAUGCGUCCUUACAUGCAAAAAAGUGAUCUGAUGGCAUACUAAUGCACACUGUUAGCCAUUAUGUAUGAGCCAUUUCUGCCUAAGCCACCAUGAAAGCCAAUCACACCAUUGCCAUCCAAAUUCCACUGUGUGCCUUAUUUUUUCGAACAGUUUAUUCUCAGCAAUUAAUGGCAGAGAGUUAAUUGCAGGCUGAACUGCAGAUGACCUCCUCUGCUCUGUUGCUGCCGCGUGUAUACCCUGAGAGAAGAGUGUAAUAGAUGUAGGGAGGAAGGAUGUGCUGAGAGGAUUAGUCUUGGCUCUUUUGUAAAGCCAGCCUGUGAUUUUUUUAAGUGAUAAAACCAGGCCAAAAUAUGGAAAAAGCUCUGAAAAAUAUGUUUUAAGGUAAAAUCCAUCAGUAAGAGACGGACCAUAAAAACCUGCAAAGGCUCUCUCUCCUUAAAGGAAUUUGUAGCACUCUGGAAGUUUCACCUCCAUUUGUCUCGAUCCAUCAUACAUGGUCGUUAACCUGUGACACGUGGCAACCAUCCACCAAUCAUCCCUUGUCAUAAAUCACUUUGUCCUGAGAAACAAUACCAUUUCUAUACCUCACAAUGCAAUCCCACAGGGGAGCGGAGAAAUCAAAGCAGGCGGUCACAUUGUCCUGUGCAAGUGGGGAAGGAGAGGCUGCUCGUCGCAUGUGACAAUGGUUGCAUAACCGGUCUAUGUUAGCUGAUAUUCGCUGGCCCCAUGCAUGCUAGAGCUGGCCUUAAUCGGCUAUGAUUGUAACUAAUGGCUGUAAUGAUGUACAUUUUCUCCCCAGCAGGACAGUGCAAUUAGGAUCAAGCGAAUUCAGUGGCUCCUCAGGGCCAGGCAGUCCCCCAUACCGUCUUUCUCUCCCAGUGUUGCAGCAUGUGUGUGUAUAAACGGUGUUUUUGUGUGUGGGUGAGAGUGAGGAACAGUCUGUUUUACAGAGAAAAUUGUAAAACAUGUUCUUUCUUUUAGCUGCUCUUUUAUAACUGACAAAAAAAAAAAAAACUUUUCAUUGUGUUUGUAGACUUGUGUAAUUAUCCAAACUGAUUAAAAACGUAUUUGCCACGACUAACACAAUUAUUACUUUUCCUUUAUGACGUACGUAAUUCAAUUAAAUGCAAAAGUUUUACAAUCAUUCGUUAGUGGAAGGGAAAAUUAGUUUAGUAAACAUUACCACAGGGUUGUCCAAUCUCUGUUUACUAGCAUUUGUUUCUGUGCUCCCACAUGUAGAUUGUUAAUUGUUUGCUUAUUAUAUUUUUUAAUUAUUUGUUUUGUUUGAGGCAAGUACACGUGUAGCACUUCAUUCUGAGACAGCUUGUUUGUAUUGCAUCGUAUCAUGUCGUGACUUGUCAUACAGAGGUAAAUGGAUUAAUUACUCCAGCUCUGCCAUUGCUGAAUUUCACAUGAUACGCCUAGAGCUAAAAAGUAAGAUUUAGUGCCUUUACUUCAGUACCUUUUUCUACUUUGUCUACUGUCAGUGUUUUAGUAAGAACAGGAUAAAGUUGGUUGUAAAGUUAAACAGUAGCAGCCUUCAACCAGCCAGCCAAGUUAGCCCACCGCCCCUCGAUGCCUCAGCACUGAAGAGCUGUAGUUAUCAAACUACAACUUUUAACUGAUUCAACAAGUAGACUUCUGUUAUCAGGAGUCUAGGGUUGACCUUACCAGCUUGCCAAUGUUUUGGAGACUAUUGGAGGCUUCUAACUAACAUUUCGGUGCUUUCUUUUCUCUUGCUUCCUCUUGUGAACUGUGUUCAUAACACUGUGUGUACUUGGCACAGUGUUUAAUGAGAGUUAGAGGAUUUGGAGGACAGAAACUCCCUUUGUCACAUCGUUGUUGGAUCCAGUUACUUGAUAGAUUAUAUACUUGCAGGCUUUGCAAUAAAAGUAGAUGACGUUGCAAUAUUUUGAUGUGUUUGUUCACCUAGAUUGUCUUUUUGGCUCGUAAACAAAUCUGUGGCUAUAACAUGCUCUGGGACAGUCGUGGGAAGGUGAUGAAGAAGCUAAGUUGCGUCUUUGGUAUAAGUCUUGUCCACCCUGAUAUGAAAGUUUGCCUAAAUUUCCUACAGAACAUUUAUGGAUGCUUAAACAAAAAACGGCUUGAUACAGAUUCUGAUAUGAUGUAUGGAUUAAAGCAGCUGUCACUUUUAAGAUGCGCCAGAGUCCCUCAGCGCAGUGCAUUCAAGCGCUGAUGGAUUACAGCACGACUAAGUAGAAUGCAUUUAUCAAUUUAAUUCAUUUGAUGUGUUUUUUGUUCUUUUUCAACCUUUAUUUUAGGGAUGUUCCCAGCGGUUAAUUUCACUGACGGUUAAACAACCAUUUUGAAACUGAAUAUUCGAAUACACGAAAAUUAAUGAACUCCCAGAAAAUAGCCCAAAUUGAGCACAUGUCGACCUAUAUGGCCAGAUAUCAUCUGAAAGAAAUAUUAAGAGUACAUGAAAGCCAUGCUUAUAAUAUUAAAAUAUGUUACAGAAUCUUAUUGUAGCGCUGGAGAAUGACAUAAAGUACGUGAAAGAUCAAAGCAAUUAAGCUCCGCUGCGCUCAAGCCAAGCAGCCCGCUGCGUCAUCGGCCUGCCUCACACCAUAAACACAAAAUGAAGAGUCUUCAGAGUCAGACAACUUAAAUCAAAAUACUCCAAAACUUUGCCCUUUUUUCUCACCGACAUCGCUCUGGCUGAUCACAUGUGCUGAUUCACUCUGAGGAAGUUAAUUCACGAUACCAUGCAUGACGCAGGCCAGUGCUGCAAGCCCAGAGCAGCGAGCCAAGCAGAAAGAGUCGAACGCAAAUGAUCCACAUAUUUUAGCUUGUUUAAUGCACACUUUUAUGAAGACAUGACGGUAAAAACAUAUUUUUUUUCGUUUUAAAAAGAGGCUUUUUUUUGCUUUUUGCUUUUUUCCCCCUCUUUUAAAAUUUAUUUUAUAGAAUAAACGAAUAUUAUUUACUAACCGGAUAGUAAGGACAGCCCCGUUUACACGAAUAUUCGAAUAACCACGCACAUCCUUACUUUAUUUACAGAUAGGGGACAGUGGAUAAAGCAGGAAACAGGGGAGAUCAUAGGGAAUGAUAUGCAGGAAAGAGGCCACCUGUGUAUGUGGGGCUAACCAAUACCACUGGGCUAUCGAUGCCCCAUAAACCAUAUUUUUAAGUAAAAAUUUGAUUUAACUUUAAUAAAAACCACAACAUUAAUAGUACAGCAAAACGAUGUCAGAAUGAUAUCCAAAAAAUAUUGUAAACCAACCACCAAAAGAUAAACUAUGCUGAUUUCUAUACACUGAAUCCAGCUGCUUCAGACUGCACUCCCAUCCCUUCUCAUUUGCUAUAAUCAUAAUAAAGCUGUUCUUUAUCCAUCAAACAUAUGUCUUUGUAUCAUAUGUCACACUGUGACAUCCUCCCUAUCCUUCCUGUCAUAUUACAUUUAAUAGACCUCAUAACGUAGCAUCACUCAUACUGUAUCGCAAGUAUUUCAUCAAAUCCUGUCUAAGCUUUAAAUUUUAGGGUUUGAGGCUUUUAUCAUGUUGCAGUCACAAGACCUUAGUGGACAACCAUUUUUCCAUGAACACUUUGGUCCCAGUCCUGCAUAUUAAUAAUUUUUUGAGUAUGUGAAACAUGUUCAAACAUGUGCUGGUUGACUAUCUGUAAUUUUGUUGAUCAUUUUUCACUGCAUUAUUCAUCAAACUGGUCUUGCCUUUGGUAAAACUCUCCCUCUUUUCACCUCGUCUCACUAAGUUGUUUUUGUUUGUAUAAUUGAUGAAACACUCUCCCACUGGAGAUUGCAUCUGGCCAUCAGGACUCAGUAUAUUCCCUUUAGUCUAUCACACCAUACGUCCCAUUAAGUUUCAAUCAUCACAGGAAUAGUAACAUUAAACCUCUUGGUAUUUUGUGGUCAGCACAAAGCCUUGAAUAUAAAAAGUGUAUGCAUCAUAAGGAUUGUAAUUUUUUUUACUACAAAACAUUCAUUUCCGCACAAAACCUUGUACCAUUAUAUUUGACAAAUACACUUGAACUUGAUUUGUUCUUUAUGUGCUUCUAGUUGCUAUGGUUACAGGGAUCUUAUGGCAGACAAUACUUACUUUACACACAGGGAAGGUUUUCAGGUUUGCUUCUAGUAAUAUCUCCUCCCUACUCUUAACUUUUGUGCAAACUAAAGAGCAAAGAGACACGUUUUAACACUCUCUUAUACACACACAUGCACACAUUGUGCUCUUCAAAUCAAGCAAUGUCGCCAUGGAAACUAGAGCCGAAUAAAGAGAUUGCCUUAAUCACUUGAAAGUCGUACAAACUCUGCUCUCAUCUGGCCAAAGACGUUCACUCUCCAGUAUGAUUUUUAAUUCAGUAUGUAAAAUAUGUGGAGCCAUUUAUUCUAUUACCAAGAGUAAUUCUCAGUGACAUGUGGGGCUGCGCUCCGAUAUGUUGUACUUGGGGUUAAUUAAAAGCGUAAUGGUCAAGUCUGUAUUUGUAAUAGAGCUGACAGGAGCUCAUAAUUCAUUCAGAUUGAUUAGAUAUUAAACCAGUGGUCUGUAUAAGUGGCAGUCAGACACGACUAUAUGGAACAAUUAUCCCUGAAUCAUUGCUGAUGUUGCCCAUUGCCCGUGCUCUCAUUGGGACGUGGAUAGAAAUCUAAGGACACCACAAGACCUUUUUACGAUAAUUCAUUGAAACAUUGAAAUCAACGAUACUUGUUGACAUAUCAAUUGAACAUGUUCAAAUACUUUGAAAUGACAUUUAAAUUUGAGCAGUUUGAAAAAUGACAUGAGCAUAUAUGUAUAAAACUUGAGACAGGGUUUUGACAAGGUGUUCAACUGCUUUGUUAAAUGUAUUACUUUUGAUGUGAAUAUGCCAAAUUCAGAAAUAAAAGCCAAACUUUUGAUAGACAUUAAAAAAAAUCAGUAAUAUCUUAUUUUGCACCAGUAUGCUGUUUUAUUUAAAUUAAAUCUGAACUUUUCGCAAAAUAACUCAUAUGAUGCCCCUAUUUAUAACUGUUCAUAUCAUCUGAUGUUGAUUCUGAGUACAACACGGUAAUUUCUUUAUCUAAAACUCUGUUUUCUGUAAGGUAUAAUAAUAAAUAGUGUAAUGAAAUAGUAAAAAAAUAAGACGCAAUUCCAUCAUACAUUAUCACAUGCUUCGGCUCGCAAAAGCAACCACUUGAGUUAUUAUACAGGCAGAUAUGGUGCUAUUCAGCAAAGUUAGUUUAAUCAUACAAGGUGAUUUAAAACAUGAUGUGGCAGCUAUCAGUUUCUUCACCAAACCUCAUUACACACCAGACUGAUUCCUCCUCCAGUUCAUAUUAUUAUCUGGUUUAUGAUUAGAUUUAAAAAUAUAUUACAGAAGAAAGCCAAAUAGUGACAUCCUUAGUGUCACCAUUAUGAAUUUUCUACCAUUGCAUGAAAGUGUGUGCAUCAGCAUUACCUCGAGUUGAAGCAUACAGUGGAUCUCUUAUGUUUGAGUUUUACAACAGAGCUAGCUGAUUGGAGCAAGCUGAAGACAUCUUUUAGUUAUCUCGGCAAAUACAAGUAUUGUAUUAAGACUCUGUAUUAGUUGACACUAUUUAAAAAAUCUUCUCGGGUUGAAAAAGCUGAUUGAAAUAUAUCUACUUCACACAUCCUGAAGUUUCUCUCUUCCUCUUGGCUCCAGGACCUUGAGUUUUAAAUGACAUGCAGAAUUCACUUUCAACUGAAAACAGGACUUUGAACCACGGAGCAACAGUCCAAUAGAUGCUUCUGACACUGUCUCUGGUUCAAUAGUGGCUUGAUGUUAGAAGGGCGACAGUUGAAGCAUCGUUCCUGAAGAUAUCUGUGCGCGGUGGCUCUUGAUACACCGACACCACCCUCAGUCAACUUUAUGAAUCUCCCAAGUUCUUGAACUGCCUUCUCCUCUCAAGGCUGUGAUCAUCCCUGUUGCUUGUACAUAUUAACCUCUUACGCUUUCCUUUCCAGUCAACUUUCCAUUGAAGUACUUUGAAACAGCACUCUACAGAAAGCCGUCUUAUUCAGCCUGACCGUUAGUGUCCUUCUGAUGCUUAUCCUCCAUGUAGAGGGUGUUGCUGAUCAACCUCUGGACAACUGUCAUGUCAGCAGUCUUACUCAUAGUUGUGGAUGUGUGAACUUCAUUAGACUGCAAGGAUACUCAGUAUUGACACUGCUUGAAUAGUAAUUCACUCAAACUUGAAAUGAAAUCUUGUAAUGCUUUGAGGUUUCAUCCCCUCUGAACAUGUUGAAAUCUUACUUCCUCCCAGCACUGAUGGAAAAAAAUUGAACUUUUUCAUUUUAUUUUAAUUCAUUGAGCCGAACCUGCAAAAAAUGCUACCAAACUUUUCUGGACUGAACAUUUCAACUUGAUCGGCAUGUGUGCUUGAUGCUGUGUUGCAGAAGCCCUUCAGUGGUUAGAUUUCCCAACAUCCUGAAGUGCAUCAGAACAGAUUGAUCCAACCUCUGUUCAACAAACAAACAAACAAACAUUUGGAAAGUUUUUUUUUUUUUCUUUCUCUCUCUUGAAGACAGACCCCACAAACCUUGACUUUUUAACUUUUUAUGAAUCUGUAUCAGGAUGUUGUUACUUCUUCAGAAAAUACUUUUUUUUAUUUAAGGGUCCAUAGUGCGUCUGUUUGCCUACUGUUGACCUGAGACCUGUUGGUAGUUGAGCAGCUGAAUAAGCAUUAAAUGGUAGCGAUAGAGGCUGGAAUUUGCUUUUGUAACUGUUGACUCUAUCAAAAUUCUUGAAAAGCUAACAUCCAUUCACAGAGGUUUAUAUCCCCUCCUGUAGUCGGAUAAUGAUUGCUGAUGAUUGCAGAUGGAUCAGAAGACUGAGGCUAUCUACUGAUAGUUCAGUUAGCCUUUUGAAGUAGUAUUGGAUUUUGCAAGAGUGGCAAGUUGAAUCACACCACAGCUGCACAUUUUCAGUUUGCAAUGUCACUAUCGAACGCUUUGAUCAUAGAUAUAAUUGUUUCAUCCCUGAGUAAGAACUUGAGAAAAUCAUCACUUGAUUUUAUUUCUCCAGAGUAUUGUUAUUUUACAAAUGGGAAGUUUGUCUCCCAUGAAAAUAUAACAAACGUGAUUUAUCGCUUUAUAAACCUGGAAAAAAGAAAAAAAAAGCCAGGAUUGAUGUGCCAGUUCCAUCUUUCUCUCUACCCUUCAGUAAAAGAACUACACAGGCUCUAUCUGUGUUUCCAUUCCUGUCCCCUGAGGCAGAGCUCUGAUGUGGAUGAACUAGAGAAUUAUCACUGUGAGGAAAGAUGGGCACCUGUCUACUGUAACUGGAUUUCAUGGCUUUUUUUCCCCCAUUCUGGUGGUAUGUACUGGAUCUGCAUUGAAAAGUGGAGCAAAUCUAAAAAUUUUCUUACAUGAGCUUGAUACAUCGGAACAGUGACACAUCACAUCACUAGCUUGACAUGAACCUAGAACCAAUAUAACAGAUUGGAAUGAGAUAGCACAACGGCUGAGAGAUCAUCCUGCAUGUUUUUACACUUUCUGCGACUUAAAUGCUAAUAGGUAGCUCAGAGCUGCACGCGUCCAUGAAACACAUCUUCCUCUUUGUUCCAAAGAUUUAGCUGUGGAGGCUGGCGUCCCUAUGCAGAGUGAUUUCCACUGGUACUGAGUCAUGACAAGCACAUCUCCAGUUAAAUCCUAUUUUGGUAAAAGCUAUCAUUUCGCUCCGUCCAAUCCCUGGAAUCAAAUAGAGAAACAUCAGUGAGAAAAAAAAAAAAAAACAUGAGCUUGCCCGGCUGAGCCUCAUGAACUCUGAUGUGGAAUUAUACCGAAGUGUCAGAAGUCAUUGAACUGGAAACAGGAAAGCUUCAAAAAGAGACGUUUUGCAUGAUUUUUCCAUCAGUAAGAAAUUCCCCUUUAGGGCUGGACAAAUGCAGGGACAGACAUGGUAGUUUGAGAGACUUCGAAACAGAAAGUGUCAUUCAAUCAAGAAGUGAAACACAUCUGCUGCACUCGAGCCGAGAGUGCUGAUAUCUGAAGAAGCAAAAGAGGAAACACUCCUGCCAAUUUGUGUCUCCUAUGAAUAAGAAAUUAAUAAAAAAUUAUGCAAAUAAACAAAUCCGUCUGUCUUCAUUUAGAGAGAGAUGAGAACAUCAGAGAAAAGAUGAAGAUCUGAUUUUCAGCUGAAAAGCUUCUUAUGGAAAGUCUUAAUGUAGUGAAUUAAUGAGCAGGGAUUAUAUGCUUUUCUGUCUUUUUUCUCUGCUCUCUGCUUAGUAAUUUAUUUUACUCUGCCAUACACAACAUUUCCACUGUUAAUAUCUCUACAUUGUCUUUUCUUUUACUAAAUCGUUUAUAUGCUGCAUUGAGUAAAUUAGAAAUCUUAUUUUUAAUGCAAUUUCAUGAUGGAUGACUUUCAACGACCAACAUAUUGAGAGUCUGACUGGCCCACGCAGAAAGACCGGGUUUAUACAGGUCAGUGACAGAUGGCGAAUGAAGUUUCUUCAAACAGUUCAAGACUGAGAGCCCAUCCAGACCAUCCAAGGGAAGCCGCAGUAUGUUGAAUAGAAUUUUUGUGACUUACAGAAAGAAGCAGUUGAAGGAGUGAUUGUGUAGGGAUAAGGGUUUGUGCCCAAACACACACACAUACACACAUACACACGCACAAGUACUUAGUUGAAGAGAAGGAGCAAGAAAGCGAGAGAGAGAGAAAGAGAGAGAGAGAGAAUAAAGUGGCAGUCUGGAGAAAAUAGAUAAAAAUGUAAAAGCAAAAACAAACUACUACUGUCAAGGUCAAACAUAGCAGAAAGCCUUCUAUCAACAGGAUGUAAUAACUGUUAUUUUUCUGCUAAGUUUAUCAUCACAAUGUCAAGAUAACAUGAUACUGUCAAGUGGUUUCCUCCACUCACGAUGCCAGUUCUCUCAAGGGAAAAUUAUUUACAGCAAAAUAUAAAAACAGUCAUGAAAAAAAAUAAUGCAAAAGACAAAGAGCACACAAGAAAACAUAAAGAGAAAACCUUUCAAUGGUCACUACCAGUUAGGUACCAAAAGCGUUAGGAAAUGAGCCUGAGAUAACGGUAUUAAAAAAAAAAAAACUGAACUUACUGAGUCAGAAUCCCUAAGAGAGAAAACAUGUCUAAAAAUAUAAUCCAGUCCCAGAGGCUUUUCAGAAGUCUGUCUAAAAGGCAGUUUGAAGAGUUAAGAAAUGUUUUAGGCGGAAAAGAAACGACUAAAAUGACUGAAAAAAACACAGUCUACUGACGUUUUUGUCUGCAUAUAGCAAAACAACCUUUGAAUAUGUAGGUCAUCAAGCAUAGCUCUUUUAUAACACACAGUUAAAUAUAUCUGUACAUUUUGGCGUAGCAAAGUUUUCUUUAUUUUCACCAUUUAUUUUCCCGAUAGUACCAUAUAGCUUUCCUUGGCCCUUGUGUGGUCACUAAAUGUCUUUUUCUUUCCUCUUGAUGUCACCUGAUCACUCUGUUUUUGAUGUCUUCCUACAAUCAUGGCCUCAGCCCCUGUAGAUUUUGCUGUUUUAUGCUAGCUCCUUGUGCUAAAAGAUUGAGGAAAGCGAGAAAGAGAAAGAGAGCAGUGAGGGAAUAAAAACAAGACUGUGAAUUAAAAAAAAAAGGAAGAAUAAAACGUUGAAUCUAUUUUCACAGCUGUUAAGUCCUGAAGAGCUGCAGGCACACCAGCAGCUCUGCAUAAACAUUAAGAGAAAUAAUUCGUUUGUCAGAAGCUGCUCUUCAUACUGUUCACUUUGCGUGUCUCUGCUCUGCUCUCUGUCAGACCCUCAACUCUCACUGGCGAUUUCCACCGCAUCUGGAACGGCUAUGAAAAGGCCAUAUUCGUUGAUGGUCGCUGAUCGUAACCAUUCAAGUCAAUGUGUCAGUUUCCACCAGCUUCUUUGGACGCCGGAGUAUGUUCUGGAGCAUUAUUCCCUGCUGGAAAGGAAGUCGGGCAUAGACACAAAGUGAAACAUCCGGCUUCUUUUGAAAUAAAAAAGUCAGUGUUUUAGGCGGAUAGUAUUUCACACCAUGCAAACAGGCGGGACGAACAAGUGAAAGACAGCAUUUCAUCCCGAUGACACCAUGGAUGAGAGGACUGCUUAUAUGGUUAGCCGCUAGUCCGCGGGUUCUUGUGAGUUUUCGCGAUUCCUGCUGUCCGUAAUCCACCACAAAAUUUGCCUCAAACAGAUCCAGUAGGAAUUGGCAUCGGAUCGGAGCAGUUCUGGACGCAGUGGAAAUCCGGGGUCACACGGUGAUUACACAAACAAACUGUUCAAAUUCAUUGGUGCACAAUCACAGAUGUUCUGUCAAGUCCAUUUGUCACCUUAUUGAAGUGUCCAAGUUACAUAUAUCUGUAAAAGCUAAGAUACCACGGUGUUUGGUAAAUGUCUAAAUCUGGACAAUGCCAAAUUUGCCACCAUCUAAAAAAACGUUAUCUGCAGUACAGGAGCUGUGUUCAAAUGUCCGUGGGUGGUAUUAUGCGUCCAUAUGGUCCUGUUUUAUAUGAAUCAAAUAUUUCAUAAGCAGCGAUGCAUGUUGUAGGGAAUACAGCAUAUCCUCUGUUGUCUCUUGCCAGUGGCAUUGGCAGAAAAAUGAUAAUGGAAGAGUAUUAACAGAAUAUUUUAAAAGAGAUGGAAAUUAUGCAAGCCUCCAGGCACACAUAUGAGGGCUCUGAUAUCUCCCAUGCUUCUCUAGUUUUACCCGUAAAUCCACUAUGUAGAGAUAAUUAAAACAGGUAAAUGACAAAUUUAAAUAUUACAUGUUUUGAGCACUAUGUGAUUAUAAUGGGCAUUCUUGUAAUAAAGAGUUUAACAUAUCCUGCAUUAGACCUAUUCAUCGCCGUUGAGACUCUUGAAUGUGCUGAAGAAAGAACACAUCCUGCUUUACAUCCUUAUCCUACAUACUAUAUGUUUGGCACGCUGCGAUGCCUUUCAGCAACUUGUAUCUGUAUGAAUUUAGAAAUGGAACUGUCUUGAGGUUAGUUCCCCAAACACUUUCUGUGUUGCCUCAAGCAGAGUUAAGUUUCACUGUCUUUUAGAGAGUAGCAGACAAAUAUAAUGAAAUAUAUUUUCUUUUGGCUUGCGGCCUCUCAACACACAGCCUUUAAAGAAUUUAUUUAGUUCAACAGGAGUCCAAUCAUCAAUAUGCAAUGAUGUGAAAAUAUCCUAUUAACCUGCUUGACUAAUAUUUUAAUAUAAACCUGGCAACUAUUAACCUGCACACAUUUGCAAUGCAGGCUGAGUUGCUUUUCUUUCCAAAAUUUAGUCAAAUCCAGUUUGCUGAGAAGGCUGUGAUAUCGCCUGGAGAAUGAAGUUAUCCAUCAACUCAACAAUUGGUUUGUUUUGAGAAGUAUGAGGCCAACAGCGCUGCCAGACUCAGGGAAAUAAAAGAGAAUCAGAUAUCAUAAUCCCACUUUUACAAUAUUUUAAGUUGUUUAAAGCCGGAGUGUUUCUCUAAACUUCUAUUACAUGCAGACACCUCAGUGGAAGAGCACCACGCAGGGCCUCCAGAGCACUCACCACAGGGUUUUAACAGCCUACGCUUUGAUGUGGGGCUAGAUGGGUAGAUGUAGAGAGAGGGAAAAAAAGGAAAGAGCAAGCGAGCAUUAAGUUCAAGGCCACGUUGGUUUGAAUUUACACUUUCAAGCUUAAGAACAGCCUUCCAGAGCUGAGAACACUGAAGAAAUGUCACAGGAGAUAAAAUCAUCGCAGUGAGAGUCCAAUCAUAGCAGAGGUCGUUUUCAUAAACCUUUUAAAUAUUGAUAUUCAGCAACCCAACUGUGAACACAAUGAAAACAAGAAAAGCCAAGCAUGCUGAAGUGAUCUGACGUUUAGAUGUUAAUUCACGGAUGGCAGAUGGAGGAGAAGUUUUCUUCUGUAGAAGACUUCGGCUAUGAAGAAGCUUUGCUGCUUCUGCUCUUCGUAUACAUAACUAAACAUGCUUUUAUAAUGCCACAACACAUAAAUGGUAAAAAUAAAUGGGUGGGAAGGCAGUGCAAGUUACUCUCACAAGUAGGGGUGUAACGAAAUAAAAUUCAAAGACGAACAAAAUACAAUAAAGUAAUCAAGAUUUGACCCUCUCGCUUGCCGUAGCAGCUUACAUGCUGCAGUGUUUACAGGAUGGAAGACAAUGUGGAGAUAGUAGAUGCUUCACCGUCUCAAGAAAAUGGUGAUAAGAUGGAGAACAGAACCAAGACUAACCACAAACUCUGUCGGUACAGUACAAACAUGACCUACCAUUCACAACACUAUCACAAAGUGUCUGUUCUAACAAAGAACAGUUAUCAAACAUCCAAACAACUCUCCAGAAGUCAUUCGCAGUAUCGCUUCUUCCCUCAAAUCGGUGAGAAUAAGAGGUGGCCCAUGACAUGAGACCGUUCUCAGUUGUUAAGGACGAGGGAUUUCAGAAGACCAAAGACCAUACCAUUCUUUCUUUGUGAAGCAAAACACUCCCACACACUGUCUCCAACUUUUGCAGUCAAAUUGUUUUUCAUCAACAAAAAUUCGUGACACAGAUCUUCACAGAUGUCUCUGCCUUCUGCCACGGCCACCCUAAUCCCACUUUUGGCUGGUGCCAAGUCCUGCUGGAAAAUUAAAUCAGCAUCUCCAUAAAGCUGGUCAGCAGAGGGAAGAAUGAAGUGCUCUAAAACUUCUUUGUAGAUAGCUUUGUAAUCUUGGACCUGAUAAAACACAGAGGACCAACACCAGCAGAUGACAUCGCUCCCAAAACCACCACUGACUGGGAAAACUUUACACAGACUCUGGGAUCUUGAUUUCCAAAAGAAAUGCAAAAUUUACUUUCAUCUGAAAAGAGGACUUUGGACCACUGAGCAAGAGUCCAGUCUUUUCUGUCCUGAGCCUUGUGUUGUUGUCCCUGGUUCAAGAGUGGCUUGACACAGGGAAUGGGACCGUUGAGGACCAUGCCCUGGAUCCAUCUGUCCAUGGUGACUCUAGCAGCAGUCCACUUCUUGUGAAUCUCCCCCAUAUUCUUGAAGGGGCUUUAUUCACAAUCAUCUCUUGAAAAAACUAUUUUACUAUUCAGUGAUCAUGGGGAUUUUACAACAUCCACCACGUGAACUACAGAAAUCAACAUUUGAAUUCCUCACUCUGCAAAAACUGAGAUAUUUGCUCCACUCACUCACGUUUGUAAUAAUAAGUCACUUGCAGCAGUAGGACAUGGCUUGCCAAGCUCCCCAGAGAGGAAAUAUGAGGAGGGUGAUUUUAUUUAACAGCUCAUUUAGCAUUCGUGUAUAGUACCUUUUGCCCAGGUUCCUAAUGGCCUGUAUCCCCCAGGAUUUGUCAGAAGAUGUAUGAAAAUGCAAAUAAUUCAGCAGGAAGUGCACCCAGCUCUCCCAGUGUGGUGACAGAUGUGUUGGAAUUGCAGUAAGGAUUCUGACUCAGGUGGGAGCCUUUUCCUGUUCUUUGGUGCAGAAAUGUUGGAGACGUGCCAUGUAAGGGGGGGGGGCGCGUAUACAAGGCUGCUCGAGCUUUGUCCCAACUCUGCCUCCGUGACAAGAACAUAAAUUAAACUUUAUAAAUAAUUAUCGCCAUUAUGUUGAAUUGACAUUGAUGGCAUUUUUAAUGCAAAGUUUACACUCCCAUUUUGCUUAUUCUGCUGUGACAGUAGUUUCAACUCUUUAUUUCCAUUAUGCCACAAAUAGUUUCUCUGAUUAUGAGGCACAGACAGGUUUUGGCAGGACAGGUUUUAAAGUGCUUUGCUUGUGUGUAUAAUGGCAUCUUAUUAAGCUGUCGACUUAUUUCAUUAAUACAGAGUAGUCAAAUGUGAAAUAAAAACAUUGCAAGUCGUGUUUAGCGUUUGCAUUUAGUGAUUGAAUUGGGUUUUAAUGACAGACAGAAAUACCUGCCAACUAUCACCCCAUUAUAUUCAACUUCAUAUGAUUUAAUACACAUAUAUUUUUACACAUGUAGCAACAACCAAAGGUAUUCACUGGAAUAGUCCACUUUGAAUAACAACACUUAACGUUCACACUUCUCUAAACUAUCAGAUAGAAGUUUAGUUCAUCAUCACAAGCUUCGUUUCAGUUUGCUCCCAUAUCGAUUUCUGCUCUCUCACCCACACAGAUCAUUCAGUGGUUUACUGAUUAUUGAUUAGAUAAAUGCUCCAACAGCUCAGUUAGUCUUCUCCAUCACUGUAUGUGAGGAAAUCACUGAAGCUGCUCUUUUUCUGAUGAUUUCACCUCAACUAUUACUGUACCAUGAAAAAGCUCCUGCAGACAAACCCUUCCUCAGACGGUAUACUACUGUACUUUUACAGCAUCACUACACUGUUUGGCAGUGUUUUAGGUAGAUUAUUAUAUACAUUCAUUGUGUUUGAACUGACUAAAUGUCCACUUAGGUAUAAGGCCAAAUCUGGUGUCCAAACUGUAAUACUGCAAACAGUGUGCAGAUCUAAAUCUUCAUUUUACAGCAGUAAAAUGUGUGUUUAUGCUGGAUUGCAAAACUCUUUACAGGGAAAUACAUCCAUUCCCAAACAAACAUGCAUAGACAGAAACAUCCAGCCACAUCCAUCCCAUUCAGUCAAUGAUUCACUGAACCCGAACAUGCAUCGCUCCUCUACUCUUUGCAUCCAAAGCAAUCCAUUUAAUUACAUCCCUCACUCCCUAAUCUCCCUCUUGUCAACUGACUGUGUAUUUGAAGGAGUAAAAGUCUAUGGCUAUGUGCCUGUAUAGUACUGGCACUGUUGGCUGCACACACACACAUAAAACGAGUGAGAGGAAACUUAGCCAAUCCCAUUAGGCUGAGCUCCUCCAGGGUAUCGCCCCCUAUCAGACAAUUAGUUACCAAAGGUUCCUAAUGAGUUUACCACAAUGUAUUACCUGGAACCAGCCCCUUCUAGUAGCCUAUCACAACCCCUGGCCAGAAAUAGAUAUAAUACAGACAACAACAGAUUUCUGUGGAAGGCUAAACUGAGGGGGAAAUAACUCAUGGUCUUAAACAGGAACUGAUUUAUCUGUAUCAGUGGUUGUUGGCUGGACCACAAGCUAAGCAAAAAGUGUUUCUUUUGUGUUGCAUCUUUGCUGAGGGUGAGCUCAUAGUUUCAAGGAUAAACUCCCAUUUUUGAAAAUCCCCUUUUGUCAGACCAGUAUAAUGCAGAAACUGUUGAAUCAUUACACAAAACAUAAUAGAAAGUAGUUGUUGUUUUCUAAUCAUCAACAAUUCACCUGUGGGUCAUGCCAGUAUGAUCUCUAUGACAACCUUAAAGCUGGAAUGUUGUGCUUAGUAAAAAAACAAACAAAAUAAAACAUAUUCUUGAUGUGUUGCUGUUUCCACACACCAAGCGGGAGUAAAAUCAUUCGCGCGAAUGAAUUACAUGUUAAGUCAAUGCAAAGACGCGAUAAGACGCUCCUACUACUCUGGCGGCGCAAAUGAUGCGAAUUGGGCGGGAGCUGAAAAUGUCUCAACUUUAGCAGAUAUUCAUGUCAUGAAAACUAAUAAGCACGAAGAUUGCCGGGUAACGUAUGAAAAUGAAAGUUUGUUCACUGGUACCUAAAAUUGAGGACAAACUGAUCGUGUCGGUGUGUGGGUGCCCCGAAUUAUUUCAUACCGUUAUUCAAUUACCGAAAACAGAAUAAGAAGGAGCUCGCCUGGAGGAAAGUAAGGGAAGUGAGUGAGGAGGUCGGGUUACCUGGCAAAUUGUAAAAAGCCUUUGUCUAUCACUUGAUCCCGCCGGCUGAUUGGCAGGGAUUACUGUUGAAAUUACUGUUGACGCACAAAUGAAGCAAGUAAAUACUAUUCAUUCACGUGUCUAGAUUCAUGUGAAUAAGGCGAGUAGAUGAUUUUACUCACGCUUGGUGUGAGCGCUCCAUUACACAUUAAUUAAAGCCUUUAUUUACUUGACAGAAAUAUUAAAACUGAAAAUGUUAUUCUUGUUAAAUUUGAUGCCAGCAGCAUAUUUCCUCCAAGCUGGCGCCGGGGGACAUUUACCAUUGUGUCUCUUGUUUUAACAACAAUUUAUAAACUUUUGAGCUGAAGCAGACUCAGGAUGGGAAUCGAAAACUAGUUCUAACAAAUUCAAGCCAUCUACAUAAUUUUCAGAGGGACGACAAUAAAGGAGUCAAGGAAGUAAUCGUAGCAGACAGACUCUAGAUUUAACUCAAGAAAUAAAACUAUAUGAUGUACCAAUAAUGGUAAAUUCUGACCUCGUGAGCUUGCCAGAAGUAAACUCUGCAAUGUCCAAGGGCUUUUCCGUCCCACAGAGCAGAUUGGUGUGUUUUCAGAGGUGGUUCCCUAGGAAAGCAAAGGUAAUCUGUGAUUGUUUUUGCUCCUUGCAGACUGCUGGGUAGAGGCUGCCAUCAGACUACUGAACACUUUCUUAAUGUUACCAUCAUUUGGAGUCAGUGAAGCCUUUGCCCAAGAAGUAUAAUCCAAUAUUGACGCCAAAUAAGCACUGAAUCCUCUUGAUUGUCUGAUGGUCUAUCUCUCCACUGCUACUCUGGGGUGGGUCCCCACCAGAUCCAGAUCCAGUUAAAGAUUUUAAUCCAAGCACAUUAUGCCCACAAAGAUUUACAGAUUACUAAUUCAAACCCUGCUCUACCAUGGCAGAGCAGGGUUUGAAUCCUUCUUUCUCGAGCAAGAAACCUCAGCAUAAAUGCUACCAGUGAUGGGAAGGCUCUUUCCAACUGAUCCAGAUCAUUUGGCUCAUUGAGAACCAGAUCUUUUGGCUUGGAAAUGGUUCUUGAAGUAGGUUUUUGGAAUCAAAGAGUCUUGUUCACUCUACUGAGAUGUUUUACUGUAUUCUAUAGGUGUCUGUACAAUAAAACAGCUGAAAAUAACAACAUUGCAGAGAUUUGUGUGAUAAAAUUCAAGUUGACUUUGGUAUCCUUGAUAGACUUUUAAAGUCUUUUACUUUUAGAGGUCAGCUCUUUUGGUUGUGCAACAUUCCUGACACCUCCAUGAACUUUUCACAUCUACUGAAGAAGCUGUUUUUCAGAUUUGAACAGGGACAAAGUCUGCUGAAAUUAUUACAGAAAGUGUCUUGCUUUUUACAACAAGAGAGGGUUGCAGGAGUCAGAUUUCAGUAAUUGCGUGAUCAGUGUGAAGCAAGUUCACCCGGAGCCAUGUGAAGAGGCUGAUGACUGACAGGAUAAUAGAGAAAGAGUCUAGUAUUAAAAUAUCUUAGCAAGAUAUCUAAAAAUACUGGACUUUAUCAGCUCUUUUUUCUGGUUAAGUGCUCAUUUGCUCUGGUGUUUUCUCUAGUUUAUUAACUGGUGGGAAAAUCGCCUUUCCCUGGCAUCCCCCACUAGGUGAGACACAGUUCAAAAAUGCAUAUUAAGAUUGGACUUAAGGUAAAUUAACACAGUAUGACUAAAAAUAUAUAAGUAGGGGCUCAGUACUUGUCUGUAUUACACAGGUUCCCACGGUUCUCACUUGCUGUCUUAUAAAGGAGAACUCGCUGUGGGAGGUUCAUUAAUCACUGAAGCUCAGCGUUGCUGUGGCAACACCAGGACACAAAAUCCUCUUUUGCUUUUAUACUGAGCCCACCUGGUCUGUUUUUAUAGCACUAAGGGUCAGCCUUUAGUAACACAAGGCAAAUGUUUUUUAUUGAUGCAGUGCUCAAAGGAUGAGCGGAGAUGGGCGAGUGUGUGUGUGUGUGAAGUUCAGGCUGUGCCUCAGGUUUGUGAGUUUAAACCUCUUUCUUCCUGCACAUCCUGGCAAAAUCCCCACUAAGAUAAACACCUUUCUUCUUGACAGAUACCACACAUUUCGUAUCGCACCUUCAGUUUUGUAAAGUGAGAGCUACAAAGGAGAGAUAAGCAGUGUGAUAGCCUUGAACAGCUCAUUUAGCAUUCAUGUAAAGGACAGCUCGCUCUGAAGUUCAGCUUCUCCAGGGACAGAAACAGAGCCCCCUAUGUACCUCUGGCAAACAGUUCUCCAUUUGAACGCAGCUCUGCUGGAAGUGCAGGGAUGUUUACGGGGGGAUUUUACCUCGCGGCACAGGCUGACAUGUAUGAACUGAUCAUCCCUCAUGUUUCCUUAUAUGGUUACAACACAGUCUAAACUGGCAACUUUCGGGUUUCAGUACAAAACGCUUACAGCUGUAAAAGAGUGUUCUAAAAAUAGCUCAUCUGUUUAGUUUUUUUUUUUCUUUUCCACUUGUUUUCUGGAGUGGGAGGACCUUAACUUUUCAGUUUCAACGCCCGAGCUUGGCCUCUGAGCUGGGCGCUUGCUCAACUUGAUCCGCCUUUUUCACUCCCUGUGCUUGCCAAUUUUCCUGACAAGUGAAGCAGAAUGCAGACGGAGACGGAGAAAAGGGGGGUUUGAGGCUGACGCAAAAGCAUGACAGCCCGUCCCUGCCCUUUGUAAUGGCUGUGCUCACCCUUUGAGCAUCCCCCCCAGACUCCCCCCUUCCCCUCCUCUAGUUUUCCUCCCCCUGAAGCCAGACUUACCAGAACAGGGUUUAUCAUCUGUGAUAAAGUACCCAUGGUCUGGGAGGAAUCAGUCCUGGAUGUUUAUUACAUUAGGUCAGUGCGUACUAAUGGAGGGACUCCUACAGACCAUGUCAUUGCCACGGGGCAGGAGGUUAAGAGUGGAUACAAAACAGAAGUACUCCUCUCUCAUCCGUCUUUCUCUCCCUCUGUUUCUCACAGACUUUAACACAACCUCACAGGAGAGGCGAUACUUGACUGGAAAGCCUUUUCCUGUCUGGAGCAUAUGCAGUUGUUUGACUAAAUACACUUUGAAAAUAAAAAUAUAUAUCUAGUGUUUUCAUCCUUUUUUGAAAACGUGCCUCAACUAAACUCCAUUUAUAACAGCAACAUGAAAUUGGACACUGUUUACAAGGGCGGUCAGUGUAUGAUACUGAUAGAGCCUCAUUACGGGAUGUUACGAAAAUCUAAACUCUAACAAACGAACUCCUCCAAGGGUGAGAAAAAUAACUCAGAAACCACAAAAAACUGGGCAGAAUUAAAGUUUUAAACUUUUAAAUAUCUUCUUAAGACAUGCAACAACUCAGUGUGAGUAGCGAUCUAUAAUAAAAAUGUCACACACACUGGAAGUCCUGAGAAGUGCAAAUGCUGACGGUUUAACCUGGAAUCAUUAGAUGUCAGUGAGUUGUGAAAAUUAUUAGUGCACACCAUGUUAGUGGACAUUCUGUACACAUACACUUCUAAAAACAAUACAAUACAAAAUCAUUAUUUAUCUCCAAAUGGAAAUUAAUUUAUCUGGAAUCUCAUGAAGGAUAGUUUAACUGUAAAUCCACUGAAGUGAAAGGAGAGGGUGAGAUGUUUGAAGUCUCCUGAUAUUAUUACGAGUGCCUCAGGAUGCUGAGAAUACAUGCAAACAAGUAUUGUUAUGAUAUGACUGAACUCCUUUAGAACAUAAUAUGUCCAAAGAGCAACUGUUAACGGUUCAAUAUCUGGACAACACAUCCUCUCCUUGAUGGUUAUGAGUGAAGAGUUACACCAAAUAAAGCCAGACCCCCUACUUUGUUUAGCAUCUCUGUCUGACCUCAUGAGAGUGACGCCAGGUAGAUCCACACUUGAUUUAACCAGGCUUCAGUCAAACACAAGAGACUGCACUCAUUGGAUGAAUGUUUUCUCAGUCUUCACCAAUACCUCCAGCUUCUCGCUUCAGAGAGUUGAGGCAUACCCAUGAUGACUGAUGAGAGAAAGGUCUUAUAUGUCCAUUAUUAUUAUUAUUAUCAUUAUUAUUAUUAUUAUUAUUAUUAUUAUUAUUAUUGCUCAGCCUAAUGGGAUUGGCUAAGUUUCCUCUUAGCCAAGUUUGAAUGGAAAAAGUCAUUUAAUUCCACAAUCAGUGUUCAUAUAGACUUUAAUAUUGUUUUGAAAUGCAAAAUAAAUGAAUUUUAAAGCAUGUGAUUCAAAGAAUGAUUGAUCAUUUUAUUGAUUGCAGUUUAAAAAAAAGGUAGACAGCUCUGACACGAUCCUGCAGCAUGUCCUACAAAUGAUAAAAGCACAGGAGGAAUUCAGAUCUGUAUUAUAAAAGGAGGAUUUUUCUUUUUGCAUCACUGACACCUUAUUUUAGACAAGACUGGGUACUCAAGAGGAGUUGAAAUGAUUUGCCAUUAAAGCUUUUGCAGAUAUGCAUAAAAAUGACAAGUGUUACCAUGGUUACAUUGUAAGAAGACAUUUGAGUGUCUCAGAUUUCUCACCUCAGUCACCUAUUUUUCUAUAGUACUGUAGAUAUAAGUGCAGCAUUCAAAGUUGGUCCACGAUUCUCCUCCGGGCCUCUAAUGAUGACUUUACUCUGACUUACGUUGUUCAGGUGUCUUCGAAAGCAUCAGCUGCCAAAUCACCUGAGGCCCACAAUUAGUGUCGAGCAGCUGCUAAGCUUUCUGUGCCACAACAAUUCACACUCUGUGGACACAGACUGUCAGUGCUGCAAGAUCAGCCACACAAAGAGACGAAGUCUGUCUUGUUUCCCCCCACUUUGUCAGUCUCCAACAUUAAGUCAUGGAUUUAUGAAUGCAAAGAGAGGAUACACCUUUAACGCCAUGACUUAUGCCAAGUGUGGGUCUUUGUUACUUAAAAAAGCCAAAUAUUGAGAGGAGUAUCAUUUGAUUUUCCCUGUCUGUCAGAGAAUGAGAGCACUUCUUCUAUUUUAACUGCUUGUCGAGCCCCUGGCCCACAGACAGAGAUUGUCUCAGCCAAGUCAAGUUGGUACAACAUCAGUGACAGAGGUGGCACAGUUAAUGAGAGACAUGAGGCAUGUGUGAUGUGAGUCAUAGAGUGCUGGUGUAUUCCCAUACUGUGCAAGGUGCACUGUGUUUUAAUGACUAUGGGGAAAGUUGGUGAAAGCCUGGACAGAUGGUUUCUCUAGAGGCUUUCUCUGUAAGGAGGAGCUGUCACAAGUGAAACCAGUUACAUUGAAUUAUCUUUUCUCCUCCAACAGCCUAAAAGUGGUCGGUCUUAAAUAACAUGAGUGGAUGGUUGAUGGACGUUUUGAAUUUAGAGAAAAAGAUAAUAGGGGUAAUUGUACUUCACCUUUACAUAGUUUGAGUGCACUUUAAAAAAAUCAUUUAAAUUUUUCUAAAGUUCUUAAAGUUCCAUUCUGAUCGUGUUGACUUUUCUCCCGCAGAGCUCCAGUAGCUCAUUAGCAAUUUGCCUCUGAGUUGUGGGUUGAGACAGCGCUGCUCAGCACAUUGGUCUUCAUAUUAGUUUGCAGCUUGACAUCGCCGGUGUAGUAGAAGUGGCAGAUAACAUAGCAGCUAUUCAGCUCUCGGACACUAAUGCCUUUAGGGACACAAUGAAAGUUAAUAUCAUGAUUAGCUUUCUUACAAGCAUUGCAAUCUGCUAAAGCAGGUCGCCAACCUUUUUUGUACCAGGGACCAGUUUCAUGCGGGAGACUUUUUCCAAGGACCGGGUAGGGGCGUGGAGGUUCCAACAAAGACCUUAAUCAGUACAUAGUUUGUACGUAAUCUGGAUAAAACAAUUACAUUCUGUAUUCGGCACUUUUCAUUACACUUUAACAUCAACUCACCAUCAUGCAGAAUCAACCCUUUCUCUCUCCAGUGAACUAGUGAACUCUUUCUGGCUCAUUUUUGCAAGGGCUAGCUUGUGUUGCUGAUGCAGGAAAAUUACGUGCUGAAGAGUCAAGCAUGAAAGUGAGGCGAUGGCGGUAGUGGUGGUCUUUCAAAAUAAGAUAGUGGGAGGAUGGAUGAAAAGAAAAAGAAUUAUUUAAUCAUCCUAAUUUUUUUUAUGGCCCGGUACUAAUUGAUCCAUGGGUAAUGGUCCGGGACCCCGUGGUUGGGGACCUCUGUACUAAAGCGUACGCUUGUUCCACGAUUAUCCUCUCUAGUUCUCAGUCUGGCCUGCAUAGUGGGGCUCAGGGGGCGGAGCUUGGAUUUGCUAUGUAAGAAAUCUCACUGUUUCUGAACCUGCCAUUUGGGUCUGUCAGAGAUUCUCAGCGAUUUGAACGUAAAAAUACUCAGAAAUGCAAUUUCGCUCUUAGUUUUCUCAUGAUAUGUCCUGUAGGCGAUAAUUUUUUUGUAGGAUGGUAGGGGAAAGUCCCGCCUCCUUCGCCUCUGAUUGGCUAGAAAAGCUGGAAACGUCAUCACAGGCUUAAAGCCAAACACGGCCUGUUGGCUCUGUACAUCAAAGAAAACUUAACAUAACAGUAUCGCACUUCUAAAUCUCCUAACCCUAACUCUAACCCUAACUCUAACCUGACAGUUGAUGACGUUUCACAGCCAUAAGGAAUAACACAACCAAAGCCCAUCACUUUUAGCCAAUCAGAGGCGAGGGAGGGUGGGACCUUCACCUACCAUCCUACAUAAAAAUUUGUUCGCAUCCUUUAGCAUCAGAAAAAUGCCAUAUGAACAUGUAGACAACAAGAAAAAACAUAAUUUUCAUCGGAGUGGGUCUUUAAGGGUAAUAUUUGUUUGAAGAAUCACAGUUAAACUUUAUUCAAGUGCCUAUUAACCUUUUUUUUGUCAGUGGAGUUUACAUUUCUGAAAUAUUAACAUCUACACUUGACUCCCAAAGUUAAGAUAACCAUUCCUACUAUCAAAAGAUUGCUUGUAUGUUUUGAUGCUAACGUCCGGCCUGGUUUGGUUGCACUAGUUCUGGAUGGCAAUACCAAUAAAGUCUGUUGAAAACAGCCAGCACAAUAGAAGUGACACCUUUCAAAGCAUGUUUGUAUUCUCCUGCAUCAAAAUAAGCCGCAUGAGCACAGUAAUAUCAAGCUUUGCAGGCUGGUCUGUCUUUCAUUUUUCUUUUUUUCUUUUACAUUUGGCUGAUUAACAUAAACAGCCGGCUUUUAUUGGAGGCGUCCACAGCGAGUGAAGCUCAACAAUUCAAACAUCAUUUUAAUUACUUGUCAUCACAGGAGAAGGUGACAAGCAGAACACUGUGGAUUCAGGCUUAAACUGAGCAUCCUGCUUCAUUCAGACUGAUGUUUGCAUAUAGUGAACAAAAUACUGCAAAGGAUUUAAUAUUCUGUAUGAAUAUAUAUGCUAACACAACAUCACAUGCCUACUGUGUUCUUGUACGCAUGGGUGAAGCCUUGAAACACAAACGCAGGGACAUAACUUUCAGUGACACCGUCUCACCUUAGACUUCGGGCAGGAUGUGUUGAAAGGAAAGCAUUUUCAGCUUGUGCUGUAUAACCACCCAGAUGGUGUUUCUGUAAGAAUCAGAGUUCACAUAAAUAAAGGUGUGGAAGUGACUCUAAAACAGAGCAGAUAAAGGAACACCAAAUGUGUUAUAUACUGUCUGCUGGUGAGAAAGCCUUCGUGGAAGUAGUGCAGGCACCUGCCUCAGUACCUCUCUUCUUCUCCGCCUGUGAAAAUGUUGUUUUUCUUUCGAGGGAGUGAAGGUGCAUAUCUGCUCAGAAAGAGAAACAUGUUGCUACUGUACCAAAACAAACAGGAUAAAUCUCACCAGCAGAGGCAGCGGUGCAGAGACAAGCCUGACAACAGCCGCAGGGCCCAGCGACUACUGCACUCUGCCUAAUCAAGCAGCCUUUUGAAAAUGUUGUCACUUUUAUCCCAGGAAAGAGGAGGGUAAGAGAAGGUUUUCAGGUUGCAUGGAAAACAACAGCAAGACAAAAGCAGAGUGGGUAGAAGAUUUCCCCUUGAAGUAGAUGUCCUUCAGGUGAUGUGCAGAGACUGUAGCAAAAUAAAAUACAGCUAAGCAGAGUGUGUAGGAAGAAGUGGUACAGGCCUGUCUUACAGAAUAAUGGACUCAUCUGAGCUAGGCUUUCUUAAAGUUUUGGGUGGCUUCAAGUUUCUUCAAGGGGAUAUGCAUGAGGAUAAUGUAAUAGCAGUGUAAUUGUGAAGCAUUUUGGGAGUUUUUGCAGAAGAAAAAUCCCAUAGAUUACUCUGAUUUGUUGCUGUGCACUGGUUUAAGUAGUUGGAUCAGACAAGUAUGUGGAGGAGGAAAUCAAAAGGGUGAAAUGGGGGGAGUUCCACUUAAAGGAUGUAUGAUGUAUAGGCUUAACUUAAAAUAGCCAAGCCUGUUGAAGAGUGCCAUUGUGAUUCAAAGGCUUCUUAUAUUUGCCACAUCGAGAUUUAAAGGGAGGCAGAACAGCCAAAAUAGCUGCAGUAGUAUUAUUACAUUCUUUCAAGAAAACAUGUUGCCUGGUUUCAUGAAAGAAUGGGACCACCACACACUUGUUCUUGCCAGCUGUCAAAGAUAAAAUGUCAUGUGUGAUUGGAGACACAUUGUGGAGGGGGGAAAAUAGUGGCAAACUGAAGAACAUUUCUGUCACAGUGAUAUUUUUUUGUCCUUCCAGAACAACAGCUGAAGACAUCUCUCAGUUAAUUAACUUUUUUGUGAGGCUCGUUGAAACGGUCCGAAAAACACUGAGCGGGAAUGAGCUGUAAACGGACAAAAGGAACGAUUUGGCAUAAGAGCUUAUGGCUCAAUUCAAGGAAGUCUGUCCAUCGACUCUCUUACAUACCCGUGUUCAGUGAAGCCUUCACAACCAAAACAUGCCUGAAGAUGCACUUAACAUGCUCAAACACACGCUGUAAAACUAACGAACUUCAUUAAAGAGAAUCCUCUGGAUUCAAGGUUGUUCACUAUGCAAUAAAGACAAAACAUGGCUGCUGCUCAGUGGAAAGCACUGGCUGUUAUGGGUAAAGUGUUGAUAAGGCAGUUAUUAUCUGCAUAAUCAGGGCUCUCUGCAGAUAGGAGCAUACCUGAAUGCAAGGUAAGAGCACUCAGUGUUAGCUUGUUUAACACACAGCAAAGGGAAAGGACUGAUUAAAGAAACACUAGAAUUAUGAGGUUGUUAAGACUACAUUCCUGCACUUCCUAAGUAUCCAAUACUUUGAGGCAAAUGACGCCACAGGGGAACUUGUCAAAAGUGUAUCAAAGAAAUGAACACUCAAACCGAUUGGCUGAGCAUCUAUAUGGACAAUCUCAGAUAUAGAUUUGCCUCUUGUUUAAAGCUCUCCGUCCCACAGCUGUCAUUUCAGUCGCACUUGAUUGACCUGGCAUCUGAUGGAGAAGUACAGUUCCCGUUCAAACAAAAGGCACUUAUGGAUUUUUGGAUCCAGACUGUGACAGAAUACCAAGUCCGUGCCGGUCCCUUUGCUCUGGCUGUGAUGUAGAUCAAAUCUUGCUGUACUCUAGAUGCUGCUGGGUGACAUAAUGGAGCUUUGUGAAAACAUGCAGGACAACCAAGUGCAGUUAGAAGGACCUAUCUCACUCAAUUUAAAGGGAUAUUCCGUUGUAAAAUUAAGUUAGGGUCAAACACACCCUAACAUUAUUAUUAGACACUCCCUUGAGAGAUAAAUGUUGCCGACUGCUUGCUUCUCUAGUUCUACCAACUUCGUAACGACCGCACGAUAGCAAUACACAGCGGUCCCAGGAGCCACGUGCUCAAUCAAAACGCCACUCUAUAGCAACAAAUAAUGCUCAAAACAGCACCUAAUUUCAUCAACUGUACAUAUAGGGUCCUAGCCAUAGCACUAGCCACCGAACAUCUUUUUAGCUUUGCUGAUUUCUUUAGCAAAGAGACUAAACACAACUCACCGUCUCUCUUCCAGCAGCCGCUUGUUUGCACGGAGACCUUCGGUCUUUGACUGCAGCGGGGUGACGUAGCUCAAGGAAGAACAUUUAUGAUCACUACUUUAUCAUUUCUGUGAAGUAAUAAUCAUCAUAUUAAUCAUUUUGCACUGCAGACACGGUAGUUUUUCUGCCUUAGCGUCUCAGUCUGAUCGCAUUUCCAUGAAGAAAUGAUCAUAAAUGUUCUUCCUUGAGCUGCGUCCCCCCGCUGCAGUAGAUGGACUCAGUCUCCGUACAAACAAACAGCUGCUGGAGAGAGACAGUGAGUUGUGUUUAGUCUCUUUGCUAAAGUCAGGCAAAGCUAAAAAGAUGUCCCAACUCGGUGUUAUGGGGUAACUCUGUGUUACGAUGUUUGACCCUAACUUAAUUUAACGCCGGAAUAUCCCUUUAAUUUGGCAUUAUAUCAGCCUGGGACACCUUUGUAGUAAACCUUUUUUUUACACUGCUGUCUAUGAAAACCCUUGACAACGGGGAAGUUAUGCUUUGGCAGAAAAUAUUAGAGGAUAUCUGUUGGUGCCUACUCAGCUCCCCAUUUAGCCUUGUUAGCACCGGUUAGCCAUUGUUCAGUAACAGCCGAGACCCAAAUUCACCUUGAUCUGGACUCUGUCUACAAAGGAGCACAAACAACUGUUGUCAAAAAAAAUUUAGAGUUUUCUGAAGCCUUCAUCUUUCCCUCAGACUGCAUAUAAGAAACUCUGAGACACAAUUAUCGAACAAAAUGCAGAGUAGAUGUGGAGCUACCAGCGGGGCAUGUCAUUUAACAAUGUCCGGAAAGGACAGCAGAGCCUUACAUCAAGUUCAGAACAAAUUUUGUUUUCAAAGUUGUCAAAACAAGCCAUUCAGGGAAUCUGGAAACAGGCUUGGAGAUUCCACCCAUGUCUGUACUGUGUAUCUCAUUAUGAAAGGUGUCCAGGUCCGUUACAUGCAUGUAUUACAAUACAAACCAGCAUAAUAGGUCUCAUUUAAAGCAAUAAGAGUAAAAUUGUCAGGAGUAUUUCUCAAUGCACAGAGGAUUGCGCUCAAUAGAUGGUAGUUGGCAUGUCUCUUGUACUAAUGCCACCAGAUUAUCAGGCUUACUCUUCCUUCACUCUCUCACUCUCCCUCUCUCUUGUUGUGACAAAGCAACGCAUUCUGCACUUCACUUCCUUGAAUCAAUCUUCUCUCAAUAUCUUCCAUACACUGUCAUGGGCGCUCUGAUUACUGUAACGGUUAUGUAUGGUUGAUUCCAAUAUAAACCUAAUGUGAAUGAUGGAGUAUGACAGGGUUUUCAGCCAUCUUCUUCCAUGAUGUGCAUAUCUGCUUCUAAACCCCUGUGUGUGUCCUUAUAUAACUUUUUUACUUUGUGUUUAAAAAGUUAUUGGCCUAAUUUUGUUGCAGUGUAGUUUCAGUGUCAGUGGCGUAUUAAAAAAUUGUCAGUAUCUCUGUGAAAUAUUUUGUUUAUGCUACCAUAAGUUGAGGUUUGGGGUAGUGGGGAAUAGAAGUUGGAUGUGAACUCAAAGAGCCUUUGCACAUAUUUAAAGUUAAUGUUGAACUUUAGGCAGGGUUAUGUAGAAUGACAGAAAAUUUACUUUGUUUUUGAAGAGACUGGCUCUUAACCCCUUUAAUUCACUGUGCAAUAUUGAAUUUAGUAAGCCAGCUGCAAGCACUCGAUUUGAUUCAAACUUGGGUGGUCAAACAUCGUCUUAAAUCUUACAUGGCUUUUGUUCGCUGAACAAUACCAUACCAUACAUUCAUUAUUUCUUUUAGAUCAAAGCGGAACAAUUUAUGAUCACAGUCAAACAUCCGUUCCUUUGAAGCAUCCUCUUUGUAAACAUGAGAAAAUGAUGAACCUUUAAGCCACACAAAAGAAAUAAUCAUCUUCAGUUUGGGAAAAAUAUUUUACCAUUAAUGUCUCUUAAAAACAUGCAACCAUUCUGAGAGGGUCAGGACAGGAAACUGAAUACCAGACUCAGCACUCAGUUUGACUUGAUGAAGACCAGCAUCCAUAAAUACACUUUAAAGUCUGGUUGAAAGAAAUCGAAAUACAGAAUAUUUGAAAAAUACCCUGUCCUUGGUGGACAAAUAUAAAACCUCUAUGUUUGUGUAGUACAUCCACCUACCAGGCAAUCAUACAUCAAUCUAAAUGUAAAACAUAUGGCAACUAUUACUAUUUUUUACUAUUAAAGAGCUGAAUUAAUGAAGUUCUUUUGUCAGGCUUUUAUUUAUGCAGAGCUUCAUUCAGUCUGCGUUUUUCCUAUUUUUUGAAGACGAGAAGGUAGUGUAGCAGCGGGAAUAAGUGACCUUCUACUUCUAUUUUUUUCCCUUUAUCAGGCUAAGGGCCUCAUAAUUACUGGUCUUAACAGCCACAGCAUUUCAGUGAUUCUCUCAGGAAUAAAGCAACUCAAGGUUCAAGGUUAAGAAUUCUUUACAAAUAAUUACAUUAAAACCAUUUCUAUGAAAAGUGUUCUCCCUGAUUACAAUAGAAAGGCGGAAAAUUUAUGGACAUAUUUAAACAACCCACCAAGAGAAGGAAUUUUGGCAGAAUGUUCAGGGUCAGACCGUGCAUUUGAUUAAACUUAAGAUGUAUGCUUAUAGUGCAGCUCUAAUGUCUGCUCUAAGUCUGAAAAAAUAAGAUCAUCCUGUAUUUGGGAUCUGGACCUGAAAUUUGAAAAUUCAUUCCCAACAGUUGACACGCUACUUGUCUCAAAGUGUGGUUUCUUUCAUGACUGAGGCCAGCAAUCACUCACAACCAAGGAUGGAAGAUGGAGCGAUACAGUGAUUGUUACAAACUGGCCAGCUCAAAAUUGGGCCAAGUUUUUUUUUAAUUAUAGUUGAAUUAUGGUGCUGAUUUUAUUCCGAGUGAUAAGAUAGUAAAGUACUGACAAGCAGCCAAGAAAAAUAGAGUCACCUAGUGUAAUGUCCCAAAAAAUUGUGCGCCCAAAAUGCCAGUAAUCACAGAAAACUGGCCCUUAAUGCAGCUGCUUCCAAGAAAGCAACAGGAGCAUGUGAGUCUAAUACAGAACAUGGAUUGAAGGUAUGCACAUUACCAGAGCUGAAAGCGUGGGAGAGCUCCUUAUGCUUAGUUGGCAAUAAGCUUAAUGUUUUUUUUUCCCCCAUUUGAGAUAUUAGUGGUAAAUUCCAGUGCUGCUGUGCUUCAUUUUUGUCCUUUAAUUCAAUGGAAUAAGAUUUGUUCAUGAAGCAGUACUUUUCCACAACUUAAUCUUAAAAUAGAAACAGAGGUUUUCUAGUGAUGAGGGUCAUUGUCAUACUCAGACAUCAUUUUUAUCACAGUAUUUCCUGGUUUUCUAUGAUUUUUUUUUUUAAGCUAAGGUGUAAAUGAAAGAAAAGCCUACUUUCUCUGGUGUUGUCCAUAUUGCAUUUUAUGAACCAAUAAAUCAAAAAAUUUUUUAUUAUUACUCAAAAUCAAAUUUGAAGAAUAGGCACUUGAAAUUGUAAAGCAGGUUUUGAUUGUCCUCUUUGAAAUACCAUUUACAGUGAUGCGACAUCAGUUCACCAUGGCAACAGCAGCAACAGUGUUUCAGCGAAAACUCGCUAAUGCUAAUACCCGCCCUGCGCUGCAGUGCCUGCGUGUGCCGUAUACACUGAUGCACAGCCUACUGAGUCUGAAGUAGCGCCAUGUAAGAAAACCCCCUUUUUUUUCAGGGUGUGGCAGCUUUUAUUUAACCAUGGCGGUGCGCCACGAUCAAUUCCAUUUAGGAGAAACCCUGAGAAAGGUUAAACUUUUUUCAACAAGCAGAAAUCUGAAACAGAUUACUUUAACUGGGUGCCACAGAUGGCUGUCUCCCAAAGAAGUUUCACUCUGAACAAAGGCCUGGCCAAGAGUCGAGAAGCAAGUUUGACUGAUUGGUACAGUCUAUGUAGGACACAGUCAUAUACCAACUAAUUAUCGUGUUGUCAUGGCAGCAGGAGGGACGACACUUGAUAGGGUGGAUGACUUUGUUUGAUGAGUUUUGUUUUGUAGGGAUUGCAACAGCCUGAGAAAGAAAGACACUACUUUAAACCACAUGGACCUCCAAUUCAGAGCCAAUCCUUUCAAAUUCUGAAUCAAGAGAAGUAAUCCAGGUCUUGAAUCAUAACACAGGCCAUCAACUUUAUGAAAUGCUGUAAAAGUAAGCGUAAGUAGCACAUCAACCUUUAGGUCUGUCGUUCCAAAGUACAUUUCACAGGCACGCCUCGGUGUAAAACAUUUACUGAAAACAUGCUGCAUUAAAAGAUCGUUUAGGGAACGAUUUAGUCCCAGGAAAGUAUUUGAAACCAAUGCCUGAUGUACUGUAGGGUCAGUUAAGUAGAUCAUUGAUAUUGUAUAUUUCUCUUCAUUCCCCCACUUCCUUUUGGUAACGUGUCCUUGUGCGAAAUGGAAAGAAAAUUACUUUAAAUAGCCAUUAGCCGUCAUCGCAAUCAGCUAGUAAGUAAUCCAAAGGAAACACUUCUGUUGAAAUAACAGGGACUUUGAGAGAAAGUCUGACAUGUGUAGAUGUGUUUUCCAAAUCUGAGGACUUAAUGGAGGCCAUGUUUUUAGGUCCUGGCCUCUAGUCUCUGCAGUAUCAACUCCUUCAUCAGCACAGGCAGACUGAAGGAGAGACCGGUGAACCUUGUGUGCCUCUCCUCCCAAAUCCUUCAAUCUCAGCAGCAAGCUUUCCAAAGUCAAAUCAAACAAUGUUCAAAUUUAGUCUCUCCACCCUCCAGCUGGAAGAAAGUUGACUUUUCUUCUUUCUCAUCCAGGCAAAAAGUAGAGUAACAAACUGGCUGUAAAAAUAAAAAUAAGGUUCGUGUAAGGAGAUGAAAGGAAAACUUUGCAACAUCUGGCAAGCAGGCGCUGGCAGGUUAAGGUAAACAGAGGUGUCCUUUUAUGGUAGUGCGCCUACCCUCCGCAGAAUCAGAGGUAUGAUGUGGAACACCUUCAAAGGAGCGAGGGGCCAGCACAUCUUGUUUCAAUUUAUCCUCUCACUGAAAGACAUGCUCUGUGGCCAUAAUAUACUCCCACAAAGAGGAUACUCGGCAUACGCUUGUACUAUCUCACGUUAAUAGCGAGCUGUCCUUGGUUAUGGGCACAUUCUCAGACACAAAAGCUUUUGUCAAAAUAUGCAUCUCAUAUCGCACAGGCUCAAACUCAGACACCCAGAUAUUCAGAGUCUCGCAUUUUUCCUGUGACCUUCUGUGAAACCAGGGCGGGGGUAGAUUAAUUAGUUCACAGCCAGCCCUGAAAAGUAGCCGCGUGCCAGACCUGCAUGUCAGCCUGUACAACAUCUGGCAGCGGGCAUCUGGUGCCAUACAUCAAACUAGCUCCACGCCCCACACACUCAAUGCUGGCCUGAUCAAACUAACUUCUAGAGCUAACAUUUGCUUUACAGGGUGAGAAGGGGAUUGCAAGGUCCAGAGGCAGGACAGGUUCUUGUACCUGUUUUUUAAAGGUCAUGCCAGUCUAAGAUGUGAGAUUGAACCUUUUUUAGGGUUGGGUAAAAGAAAAAAGAAACAAACAGUGCAGAGGAAAUCACAGCCAUCCAUUUAUUUUCCUGUUUGCUACCAAUUCCACCUUACCUCUCAGCCCUCACACUCCCAGCUGCUCCACGUGCCCCCCUUUUGCCAAAGCCUUUGAUGUGACGAGCCGAAAUGUCACGAACCUACAAGCGCUCCAACCGCUUAGAAAGCUCUAAUGAACAGGAUAAAAACACAACCCCUGAAUCAAUGAGCGGGCGGCAGCAGCCCUGUAGCUGUCACACUGAUAUCAGAGUGGGGUCUGCCCUCCAUGCUGAAGCUGCAGGAGAAAAACAGACAUCCCGGUGAUAAUAGGCAGCAGACUUUAGGGCUGUUAAAAUGGGUCACUUAACGGUGCACGUAUCUGUGGAGCCCUCUCAAUAUUUCUUCCUCUCCCUGUCUGUUUCCUUCUUUCUUCCUCGCUCCUCACCCUAUUUUUCUUUAAAACUGACCCUCCAGCAGAGUCCUGACUUUUGAUAACGUUAACUACAUUCCUCCCCGGUGAAACCACUGCUGGUUAUAUAGGGCAUUGUCAGACUGCCAGUGUUCACGGUCAUAAAGCAGCAUGGCAGGCCUCUUUUUGAAUAGAGACGCCUACCCGUCUACUUUAACUCUUUUAUUAUCUUGUUUCAUUGAGUUUUGACUCUCUUGUUCGGUAAUGAGAGAAAGGCGUUUUUUUUUUACCUUAACCGCCUCUCCCUCUGUGCACGGUGCCAUAGUCAGCAGUGGAGUAUAAUUGAAUGAUUUUGCAAGGGAUCAAUGAGAUUAGGGAUUGUGUUUAUUCCUCUGUCGCUCUGGAUUAGAGGUCCUUUUAUAUCUGCCUGGAGGAAUAGCAGAUACAGUCCACACUCCAAACACAAACACACACACAAAGCAGAAAAACGUGCUGACAGGAUAGGGAGACGUUAAGACUGUUACUGUGAGGUGUUGAGGCUGUAAAUGAGCUUAACGAACAGCAAGGUGUUUUUGAAUCACUGUAAAUGAUGUGUUAUCCUCCUGCUUGUUGAAAGAAAUACGCACCUGCUUCCUUAUGCGUCUAUAGAUACGUAGUUGUCUGUUUUUUUGUACCUUUGAAUGCAUGUUUUAGCCUUCCCUUUGGUAGCAGAGCGGCUUCAGAUGAGAUUGCUGAGGGGGAUUUUUUUUUUUUUUUUUUUUUUCCCAUAGUCUGUUCCAAAAGUGGGGGAAGGCUCAGACGAGAUGUUUGUAAUGUAGGCACAGCCUGCAGGCCUGCCUCUCCGUUUUUAUACGGGUAAAAGGAGAGUUUGCUAUUAUUAACCUCGCUACGAUUCCGUCCUUCCACCAAUCCAGCAGUAAUCCUAAUAAUCCAAGCUUGUGCUCCCAUCCCUCAGUAAUAAGUGCCAGAUGCUGAUAGUACAGAUAAACAGCAAACCUGUGUUUUUAUCCAAGAAAAACAAAGCAGAGGGGCCCGCUGGAAUCCACACGCUGUGAUGAAAGAAUGUGAAAACAGUGGUACACAUAAGGAGAGAAAAUCUCUCAUCAACCCGAGAGCCUCAUGCAAAACCACUCCUCUGAACAGGUCCAUGCUUAAGUGGAUCAUGAAACGCUUUAAAUGAAUUUGUGGUAUUCACCCAUUUUCCUGUACUUAGAAUUUCCUUUUCGGUAAAUGAAAUUUCCAAGUAGUGAAGACUCCUCGAAUGAGCCAUGUUCAGGGACUAAGCCUUUCUGGAUCCCAUGGGAAAAACUCUCAGAAAUCAAAACUAAAAUACCCAUAAGGCUAUUGAAUUCGCUAUGAAUGAAGGACCGAAUUUAAUUACGAUAGAGAAAAUUCUUGAAAUUAAUUCAAUGCAAAUUUAGCACAAUAUUAACACGGACAUGGCUCAUCAGUCUACAGAGAAUCACAAAAACAUGUUAUCCCUCACUCUGCUUUACCUUGAUUGCACUUCAACAUCAUCUUUAUUAUUGUUACCAUGGCAUCAAUGCUCCGCUGCACUAAAUGAAAUACAGAGCAUGCUGUUUCCCUGACCUUUACAAAGAGCUCUUUUUGGUACCUUUUAUGUGACUUUUUCAAAAGCCCAAUAGGGACAUAAAAACAGAAAAUUGUCCAGUGUUUUUUCUAAAAGGGUAGAGAAAAGAGCUUGUCUUUGAGGUUUAUUUUUUGAGGGUUACCUUUAACUAGUGAAAUCAAUUUGGUGAGUCCAGCUGAUAAGAAAUAAUCACUGAGAAAAUGUCAAGGAGGUUACUCAGGAUAAUUUAAAGAAGUAUUAAAGUCUGUUGUCUUAGAGUUUAAUAGCAAAACUACGCAAACUUUCAACAUUGAGAUUUUUAUAACAAAUGUUGAAAAUGUGAGGGACCCUACACAAAAACAAUUAACAAUGGAUUUGACAGUUUUGCACCUGCAGUGUGCGUGGAAAGCAACGAUUAGCCAACAAUAGCCAACCAUUCACCAACAACAUGAGUCCCCACUGUCAAAACUUGAAACUUUGCAAAAUCUUGUGCGGUCAAACAUUACUUUUAAAUUGUUCACUAAAACAUUGUUGAAACAUGUUAGCAAGAGGCUAACGGUGUACGUCAAACGUUGAACUCACCAUCACUUUAAAGGUGGCGUAGGCAGGAUUAUGUUAAAGACGCAUCUUUUUUUGUGGUAUAUAUACAAAAAAAGCUUUUAAUGUCAGUCAAUAGCUAAUAGUUAUUGAUGAAAUUUGGUAAUAUGAGAAUAUCACUGUGUUUAGUUAAUUAGCGCACUCUUUCUGAAUGUAAACAAAGCCAUUCUCCGCCUCCCCCAACCUGAUUGGUUGUAAGGCAGACGCUGCUCUCUCUUGUUGUAAGGCACGCCCCACGUCCUCCAAUAUCGUGCGCGAGCCCAAACGAAGUUAGCGUGCUACAAUAUCAGACAGUAGAAACCAACCAGAAAGUACAGAAAACGCAAGCAAUAAAAACAAGUAAAAACCAGAGAUUCUGGCAGAAUAACGGGCGAUUAAAACGGAGGCAGACCGGACAAGGGCCCAAAAGCCGGGUCAACGUCAGCAUUAAUGAUGGGGUACGCUUCGGGAUAUUAUGGACCCUGUAACCUCUCUGCCGGACAGGUAAACCGCUUUAACAAAGUAAGCUAAGUGCCUGUAACAGCAGUGUUUCUUGUCAAACGGGAUCUGCUGUGUGUUGUAGCGCUGCUAAACUGUUUACCUCGGGUCCUGGACUAUGUCACUUUAUCCUAGUUGUAGAAGUCCUACAAACAUUGUGUUUGCUGGUAGUCUGUUGGCAUCUACAGUAGCACCAAUUCAUUUUAUCUUCACGUUGACUGGGCCCCAUUUGUUAUUAUCUGUAGUAUUUAUCUGCAUUAUAUCUGAAUUUUAUUGAAAUGUUACGAUCAAGGACGAGCGUCUGUUUGUGGGCGGGGCUUGCUGGAGCAGAGGGAGGGGAGAGGCGGAGCUGAGGGGAAAACUUGUUGGAGGGGUAGUGUUUACAUACAAGAUUUCUCCCAAAAACUGGCCCUUCCUCAGAUCCUGCCUACUCCACCUUUUAACAGCUCAGCACCAUUUUUUCAUUUGAUAGGUACGUUUUAUUAUGUCCUGCUGGGUUUUGUUUACUACCUGGCUUCCCAGCAACACAUUUAUACUAUUCUGCUUCUGACCUAAAGCUGCAUUCACACCCAAAACCCUCUUGGUAAACAAAGAGCGUUGCAUUAAAUCAACAGUCAAGCUGCUCAAACUGAUCUCUUUGGAUGUUAUGAAACUUCACAAAUGCUUCCAUUUUCCUGCUGAGGCAGGACAGGGAUACAUUGUGCAUAAAAAGAAAGAAAAAAAAAACAAGAUCCAGUGGUUUUAUCUGUCCACCUACAAAGAAUUAGUCGGUAUAUGUUCUGGAUGAGCACGAGUUCACGCUCUGCUUUGAACGGAGGUGAGAGGAAUUAUUUGAAUUCCACGGCAAAGUCAUUUUUCCCUUUUGAAUACAGAUGUGAAAGAUACCUAUAGAAAUGUGGUGAUUGGUACAUUUGUAAAGGAUUACAACCUAGUGACACUACACAAUCCCCGACUAAUCAAAUAUUUCCCUGAACUACCACUUAUCGUGAGCGCUGCAGUGGAUGUUUCUGAAUAGUUUCUUUUGUCACUCCUCACUGUGAUUCAUUUCCAUUGGUGGGUGACUCUGCCUGGCCCGGUCGUGGGAAUGCUUUGUUUCCUUCAUUCAUUUUAGUUGGAGAAUAAGCUGGCCUUGACUAAUGCUUUGACACAAUACCUCACCUUGAAGGCUUUUUACAUGGAAACUAUUCAAUGAUUUAUUUUUUUUAUUGUUAUCGGUUAGGAAUACCAUCGGUAAGUGACAGCAGAUUUCAUCCUUUCUUGAGUUCAAGGUUCAGCUCUGCUUAAGAAAAUAUGAUUGUUUUUUCAACAGGAGAAAUAGAGAAACAAAUAGUGGCGCUGAAAAUGUAUUACUUCAUUCUAUGACAGUAUGAUCUCUGUCCUCUUAACUGUGGCUUUGAAAGGCUUCAUUCUUUCAUGUUUAUCAAUACCACUUUUUUUUUUUUUUUUGCUACCUGCUUUUCGUCGUCUGUUAUUGUUGGAUAUUAGGUUGACAACAUGCUCCGAGACAGGACUUUGUGAUUCCUGAUUGAAUCACAAAGUCCCACCAGACCUGAGAGCAUUUUUUUCUAGGCUGCUGACAGCACUGUGAGCCAAAUAGUCAAUCAUUGUGAGGGGACGGCGAGGGUUGUACCACUGUCCGCUUCAAGCCGGCAUCAAAGGUCAUGAUCUCAGAAAGCAAGGUAGCAGCCAACAGACUGAAGUUGUGCGGCACUGCCACUCUCUGGCGUCUUCUCUUACGUGGCAGCACUGUCAGCCAAAAACAGUAGACAGCUGAAAGGUUGCUUAGUCAUCGUCUGUCAUCAUCUUAACAGAGAGCGAGGCUGCAGCCAACAGACUGGAGUUGUUCUGCCCUGACACUUCUCCCUGGCAUCAGGCUGGCUUUUACAUCUAUUGACUUUUAUUGUUUAUACUGCAGUAAUGUUUACCAAAAAGUCAACCAUUGUGGACAACUGAAAUACUGCCGUUACGCCGCCUGGAGAAAAAGUGGUUUAGCCAUUGUCACCCACCUGAGUAGAGAGCUUUUUGUGGACUGAAGUGUCACUGCUGCACACGUCAGUAACAGUCUUCUUUUCCUAUCAGGGUAAGUUCAAGAGUCACGAACAGAAAGCACCCUGAACCAGCAGCAUGUUUAAGAAACACCUGCGUUUUUUCCCAUCUUAUACAAGAAGAGUACCAGCACCAACGAGGACCCAUCUGUGGUUGUUUGAUUUUCUUUAUGGAGAGUGAAACCAGAGCUAGCUGCAUAUCCACUGCCAUAAAGCACACCACCACCUCAGUCAGUCUGAUCGGCACAGAUUUCUCAUUCAGGCGCUUCUUCACCUUAUCUGUCCAGCCAAUCAGUUUGCCCCAAUGCUAUCGCCUCAGCCAAUUUAUAUUCUGGAUCCUCACCUGUGCCACUCGGAGUCCUCUCCUCCAUUAUCAUCUCAACCUUUCAAAUUAUUCACCACCACCUCAGCGUGAGCAAUAUGGGGUGAAAUUUCCAACAGUUUUUUUUUUGUCUUGCAUUGACUGAUUUAUAUCAGUGUAAAUGCAAAGAGUUCUCACAUGAAAAUGAAACAUGUUCCAGUUGUACUCCGAAGUCGGGAUUUCCGAGCUCUGAAAUCCAAAAUUUUAUCUGGAACGCCCCCCUCUAGUCAGAUUUCAGACUCGGAAAGUCGGACGAUCCUCACCAACCCCGACUUGGCGACAACGUCAUAAUCCAAGAUGGCAGCGCAGUGCAACAACAGUAUAGAGUAAAUAGUGAAAGCUCUCGUAACAUAUUAUUUAUUAGCACUUCUGUUUUGUUUUUGUGAAAAUAAAUAAGCGGUUUAUGUUGUGCUGCCUAAUGUCUAACUGUGAACACGGUGCCAUGGUGUUUGUAAGGGUAAAAUAUGGUGUUGUUCGUUGUUUACAACUGGUAUAGCGAACAACAGCUGACAACAGCUAACAAUAGCUAACAGGAGGUGUCCAUCUUGGUUUUCCAACUUGUUUACUGGAGUGCCGUCAACUCCGGUGUAAUGUCAUUCCUAGCUCCAACAUCCAACUUUCGAAGUAACUGGAACGCAGCAUCUAACACAUCUGAGCCUAAAAUUGUAUAAAGUACUCUGUUCAGAGCUCGGUCUUUUGAAGCUUUGGCAAAGCCAGGAAUUAGCAGCGAUUGUUGUGAGUAACUGGGACAAAAAAAGACAAAAAAUAGUGGUGGACUCAAGCUCAUGUGUUCAGCAUCAUGUGUGGGUUAUUUUGGGAGUGAUUUACUUUUCCCAAUUGGUUCAAAAGAAGAGAUAAGUUGCAUCGAUCUGAAAUCUAUGGGGGGUAGCUUAAGGACAGCCAAGCAUGGCCUCAGUGAACUAUCACAUGGAUCCAAGCUAUAGCUGUUCAAGAAUCAAACCAACUAAAGAUAGAAGCACAACAAACACAGUCAUAACAACAGCAGUGAACAUCAAGCAUGAAGUUAGAUGGACAUCAAUAAAUGGAGGACCCAAGUUGUUUUGUGGCCAUAAAAAGUUUUCAGUUUGUUCAGGUUUUCUCGGCGCUCACUGCGACUCAAUAACAAGCUGAGCUGAACUUCAUCAGAAUUUGAUAAGUAGCUGUAAACCCUGGUGAAGUUUGCUCAAUUACAUCAAAUAAACAACACUAAAAAUAGCCAAUGUUUUUACACUUCCUGUCACUGUAUGAUUAUGUUUUUAAUGUGCUGAAAUCAAGCCACAGGAGCCUGAGAGUUAAAAGAAAAGUUGUUUUCUUUCCUCUGCCAUUUUAACCUCCCCUCUGUCUUUAAGAAACAUUACACAUCCUCAUGGAACGCUGUGGGAUCUCACAACAAAUCAGCCAUGUUGGUUUAUUUUUUCGAGAUUCAAAGCACAAAGGUGUUGUGCAAGAUUUUCCAAUAAAACCGUGACUGAACUCACCAGACAUCUCCUUUGUGAGAGAGGAUGACGGUGAAGAUUACUUCUUCGCAUGGCAUCUGAAAAGCCAACACUGGCCCUUGUGUCUCACCCUCCUUUUCAUGUUGAAUAAUGGAGGCCCCCAUUAGGCGGAGAUGUGUAAUUGCGUGAGUCAGGCACACAAAACAGCUUCUUUCUGUGUCUUUCUGGCAGCCUGCAUGUCUCACAGCUGAAUAAGGACAGGGCAGUCAGCCAGCUUAAACUCCAAAGUCCUGAUUUUCCUUCCCCUGUGUAUCCGUGUGUGUGUGUGUGAGUGAGAGAGAGCUUAAUUUUAUGUGUGAGUGCUCAUUUCAUGCCCAUUUCUUAUUUAUUGAUUUCUUUGUCUCAUUAUUUGUCUAUUUGUCUUCAGUUCAUUACACCAUUAUCACCAUGAUUGCCCUUUGAAAUAAAUCAUGCAGAAGGCUUUUCAGCAGUCAACCCUCAUCGUGAACAAUGAGGAAUAUCUCCGAUACAUAUUGACUAAAUUGUGAUGGUUUAUUAAGACAAUGAAGAUAAUUGUUAAAGGUAAUUGACCAAAUAAAUACUACUUAAUGGGUUCAGAUAGCUUCACAAAGACAGGAGGCAUGCUAAGAUCAUUUCUGCGCGCGGCAGUUUGUAUGACGUUUCAGCGGGAAACAAAAGAGCUCAUUUAUACUUGAUAACCUCUUUCCAUUAUUACAAAUCGCAGGAGUAAAAAUAGCACUUUUUUAAGCAGUUUGUCCCCGAUGAAGAUACAAUUCGCGUUCAUAAACUGUUCCAAGACAACAGAGAUGAGAUAUGCCGCAUAUUGUGUUUCCCAAUUUAAAUGAUUUCGUAUCGAAUUUUAAUGAAAUGUAAUCAGACACCAUAUAGUGGAAACAAUUAGAGUGAAUAUGAUUAGCAACUGGCAUAACAGUGGUAAUGUGAAGUUUUGCAAAUCAUCUUAUGCACCAUUACAUACAGAUGUCUGCCGUUUGCUGAGCAUCACUGCAGUAUAUUUGCCGGUUUUUUCCUUAACAAAAGUAAUCUUAUACUCUUUCUUUGCUUUAUUUCAGGUGACACACCGGAUAGAAAUCAAAGUCAAAAAGUGUCUCUUUUUUUUCCUGUAGGAUGUUAAAUCUGGUGUUGUUUAUCCCAAACUAAAAUAGAAGUCUGCAAACUUGCCUGAGGGCUAAGUCUUUCCCUCCUGAUACAACAGACACACCAAAUAAAGCACGAUCAAACAUGGUCAACUUAAAUAUUCUCUUUCAAAAUUAUCUGUGGUCUUCUCGAGGAUAUCAUGUUACACUCUUUUUCUGUUUCUAUGUCCAACAAGCUGCAAACUGUUUUGAAGUAUCCAGACACUUUUAUUUUUUGGAGGGAGUAGUAACACUGUCUGUGAACCUGUAAAGGGAAAAGCAGAGGCAGUCGUAACACACGCCCAAGACCUUCCUCGCAUCCUUUUCCGCCAAUAAUACAGUCUGCCACCUUUACACCCUAACUCCUCGCCGGUCAACCUUCACAGUGAGGGCAGGUCUGACUCCACAGUUAGGAAAUGUUGGUCCCUAGGCUGUAUUAAAAGAAAACAUCGCUCUGUUGUUGCUUGUAAAUGAUUUGAGUAACAGCCUUUUUUCCCCCUUUUUUUUUUGGCGUAAUUAAAUUCUCAGGAGCCCUCUGACUGCGCUGAGGAUUAAUCUCCCAUGGCACCUCUCCAUCUGCAGCUUGGAUCAUCAGCCAUCCCUCUCUGCAUUAGCCCCCAGCUGUGCAACUGUCUGCCCAACCCGGGACUCGCACCCAAAUCAGGGGCAUACUUUGGAAAGGAGAGAAGGAAGAGGAACGAGAAGAAGCAACAUCGAAAUUAGGGAGGUGUGUGGUCUCGUGUGUAUCUCUGUGUGGAUUGUAGGGGUGGUGUUGGAGAGCAGCAAUAAAUCUCAAUACUUCACAUCAAUUUUAUUUUGGAGGGCUGAUUUGAGCCUCAUUUUCCCUCGAAUGGCCUUUUCCGCUGAGACGUGAUUGAUACUAAUAGCUUCGAGAGCGGUUACAUUUAGGGGGGAAACGGCCUUUUUUUUAUUGGUGCAGACAGUUGUUAGUGCUGCACCGAGUGAGAUUGUAAAUUUGGCUCUUUUUCAUGUAAUGUGACUCUUGAGGGUGUUGAGGCUGAGCGCUUUGGUUGCACCAUUGCUCUCCAUCAGCUCAUUGGAUGCUCAGUGCUAAUGAGAUGAGUAAUUCCUUCCUCUCAUAAAUAAACGGAGAAUUUACCCAAUUUUGCUGGUUUGGGGGAAUUUAUUUGUGGAAGCGACCCAAAGUUCACAAACUGCGGUUAUUCUCAUGAAUAAUUCUGUGGAUUAUUUCAAUUUACAGGGUGGUUUUUUUUUUUUUUUUUUGCAUAAUUAAAGUCACACCAACUGCAUGUUGGAGACUCAAGGCUGACCCACAAUCAAAGAUCACUGUUGUAGUCCUGAUACCCAGUAUUUUAGAUCAAAUCCAGUGCCAGUUUUCGCCUAUACCCCUUCCUUGAAUGUUGCAUUGGAAUUAGAGAGACAACCAUUCAUGGACAUUUGUGAUAAAAUAAAGAAUAAUAUACAGCAAUAGGAUAUUGCAAAAUGGUAGCGGCUGAUGCUACAGCAUUGUGUCCCAAGACUUCCUCUAUCCAGGAGCAUUUGAACCCACUGAAAAAGUAAUAAUCACCAUAUUAAUCAUUUUGCACUGCAGACGCAGUAGUUCUUCUGCCUUAGUGUCUCGGUCUGAUUGCAUUUCCAUGAAGAAAUAAUCAUAAAUGUUCUUCCUUGAGCUGCGGCACUCCGCAGCAAUCCGUAAUGGAAUCGCCUGAGGUCUCGCGACAAACAAGCGACUGCUGAAAGAGAGUAGGUGAGUUGUGUUUAGUCUCUUUGCUGAAGAAAUUAGGCAAAGUUAAAAAGAUGUUUGAUGGCUAGUGCUAUGGCUAGGACCCCAUAUGUACUGUUAAUGAAGUUAGGUGCUGUUCUGAGCAUUAUUUGUGGCUAUAAAGUGGCUUUUUGUUUUCCUUAGACUGCUGUGUAUUGCUAUAAUGUGGUCAUUACUAAAGUUGAUAUAACUAGAAAAGCAAGCGGUCGGCAACAUUCAUCCCUGGAGGUUGUGUCUAACUCUGUGUUGCGGUGUGUUUGACCCUAAAUUAAUUUUACGCUGGAAUAUCGCUUUAAAACGGUGUAGUGCAUAUGCCAAGCCAGUAAGUGGCGCUGUAACGCUGGCCAGGACAUGCACCAAAGACAGAAGAAGAGUAGGGAGCUUGCGUAUAAAGCUUGCCAGACUCGUAUGGGCUGAAACGCCAUUUGCAUGUGAAUACGACAAAAAACUUUUGCCCUUUCUCCUGAAUUUGUUUCUGUGUGGAUAGUUUGAUACCACCCUCAGAGAGACUUUGCAGAGCGGAGUGGUUUGCUAUUCAUCUGAAACUGCGAAGCUGUACAAAUUCCACACGACUGACUAGCGCUUGCCUUUUUUUAGUUACGAAAUUAUCACCUUCUUUCACAAUCGCCAUGUUUGUUUACACUGGUGUGGUUGGGAACUAGGGAGGGCACUCGCAGGAAGAGGGAGUCUACGGUAGCCUGGAGUCGCAAGGCACGAUAGAAAGGAAUAUUAAUUUGCAUAUAUGUAUUUUUUUUUUACAUCAUCAUAAUUGAUUAAUCCGAUUACAAUUUAAAAUUGAUGAAUCGUGCAGCCCGAGUAUUUGGUCUUGACCAAUAAAAGAGUCUAGGUAUCUGGGUAUGGAAAAAAUUAGCACACUGAAGCAUGUCUUUCACAUGGUCUGAGUCAGAAAUGAGCUCUGCAGUAUGACAGCAGUCACUCACAGAGACAUGCCGGUCUUUAACUCGUCCAGGCUAUAAAUUGGAAAGCGUCCCGCAGACUAAAAAGCCAAGUAUUUGGCCACCUUUCAUUCCAGGCGAUUUAACAGGCUCUGUGCUCCGGCAUGCAAGAUAUGGUUGAUCCAAUUUCGGCCAUGCUCAAUCAACCUAAUUCUACAGGGGACACAGAGGCCGGGUACUGCAGUGUGUGCAGGAAUGGAUUGCUCAACAAAGCAGCUUUUAAAGGUCAUGUUUUUUGCUGCUUCCCUGCCUGCGAGUUCCUCACAGAGGGCAGCGUUUGCAAACAGUGUAUGUAGAAUCACUACAAAUCCAACAACUCAACAGUGAUUUAUGCCGGGAAGCAGAGGGGGCGUCAGCUUUGACUCAAAAUGGGGUGGAAGUUACAGCGUGGCAUCUCUGCUAAGCUGUUUUUAGUGUGUGGAGUGUGAAUAGUUCAGGCAUUUUUGAAUUUGCACGUACAUGAAAGGUGUUUGAAAUGUUUUCGGGUAGAAAACUUUUGUCUCGCUGCUACCUUAGUUUUUAAUGUUGUUGUACGCACUAACAAUUACUUGCUCAAGGUUUAAUGAACAUGGACAUGGUUUUUCUACUCUACAACCUCCUCGUGUUCCUCACAAGGAGCACAGUGUCGUGCUUUUUGUUCUGCUAUACAAGGAGACAAUUAUAUUAUCAGCAUGGGAUCUCUGCUUGAUAUCACAUGUCCUGAUGAUGAGAUGAAAUAAAAGAGGUUUCACACACAUGCUCCCACUGUGUCCUUGACGGGCGGAAAUGUCUACUUUGCAAUUUCUGUAAUUUGGGUGAGAGGUAUGUUUUCAAAGAUAGCAUGGUGCUGAACGUUCUCCUCAGGGGACAUGAAACACAUCCAUCCGUUUCAGGGACUAAAUCUGUGGAAAGACGCAGAGAAUUUUCCAGUGGGGUUCUCUACAUGGUGAAAACUGCUUGUGAGUUUUCCUGGAUAUCAUUUAGGAAUCAAUUUGGAUGGUGUUAAAAAAAAUUGAUCUGUUUUUCUUGACUUUUUGUUGUGUGUGUUUAUCAAAAUCAAACAGCAGCACUUUUGGUGGCAGAUUUGUUUAAAUCAUUAAUCAGAUAACACCUUUAAACUUUCUCUGACUCUAACUCACCCAUUUAUAAGGAUUGUUUUUUGUUUUGCCUUCCUUUUAUAUUCUUGUAAACUAAAUAUCUUGCAAGACCAAGCAAGGUGUCAGCUUUGGGACUUUUAUUUAUUUUUUUGUAGAAUAAAAAAAAAAUAGCAAUGGAAGAAAAUAAUUACACAACACAGCCCUGGUUUUAUUGAGAGCCCAGUGAUGGAUUCCAGUCUCAUAUCUGCCCACAAAGACGUUCAAUUUUAAUAACCGCAAAAACAACAUUCAGGAAAACGAACUUCAAAUUGAAUCUGACUGAUUUAACGUGGAGGAAAGGUCGACAUGAGAACUGUCGGCUGCAAUCAGCAACGACGAGGAGAUUUUUACUGACUGUUAGGAGUCAUCAAGUCUAACAUGCAAACUUUUACAGCAGUCAGGAAUGUUUGUUGUAAAUGCUCAACAUGCUGCAAUAAAAUGUGCCAAGCAGGGCUUGAUGUUGGGGUUUAAAACAUGCUUGUUCUAAUGAGAUCUCCCACCAACAAACAGAUGUGGUGAACCAGCAUUCUGUGAAGUUAACAUCUGUGGAUAAUUGGAUGGUGUAGCUAUUGUGGAAAACAUGUUGUGGGCCCCUGUUUCUCAGCGAGAAGUCAUUAUCAAUGUUUAUGUUAAUAGCUCUGCCAUACCAAGUCUGCAUGUGUUCUUGGACUGAAGGGGCUUCAGCUGACUGUUUCUGCCUUCCAAAUUUUCCGGUCACGGUUGUGUUGCUACACGGAUUUUCAGAUGUGUCGAAUGUCUUAACAAUCUGUUGUGAAUUUUCUUAACUCGGUUCUGCGGUUUACAGACCGAGAGACUUGGGGACUGAUUUUGUGCCUGCCAACUUGCUGGAUGCCUGUUUUGUAGUUAAUUUUAGAGAACGCUCGCUCAAGUCAUAAAAACGACCGACAACACUGCGCAAUAAGAAAGUGGUCUUUCUUUUCAUCUUGUUUGUGUUCGUUCACUUUUCAAAAACUACCUAAAUUUGUCAGUGUAAGAACUUCACAAAGCAAUGAGAAAUGAAGGUGUCUUUUAUGGAGAGCUGAUUAAUGAAACUUGCAUGACUUGGUCGGACGAGGUGUCACUUUUAUGUGCCGUGCUCACAGAUGCCUCACUCUCUAUUUAGUAUUCUGUGAAAACUGUUGAAUAAUUUGAGACCCCCUCUGAAUAAAGAUGGUGUCUGUAUCUGUCUCUGCCAAGGGUUGUACUUGAUUAGAGUUAGAUCAUAUUUUUAUAUUCACAUUCAGUCUCACAGCAAAUUCAAUACAUCAUUUAUACAUUUCAGAAAAUAAGCAUAUCCAAGGACAGGACAUACGAUGGUAAACGCAUAAUGAUGGGCAAUCCAAAAGGUUUGUGUUUACUGAGCUUUGAAUGGUGGUAAUUUAAUGUCUCAAGCAAUGAAAAUGACUUCAAGCCAAGAAAAUGACUUGAAUUGAUGAAGGUUGCUGUAAGCUACCAUUUGUUUUUAGCCUCCUUCUCAACACAAACAGCUCAUAACUCCAGCCAGUCGGUCCCUCAUAAAUAAAUCAUCAGAAUGAAGCAUGCAGACAGGUUUGGUCGGUUCAUUUACUACUCAGGUAAAUGUUAAAAUGUGCAGGACCUGAUCUACUGUAAGUGAUUCGGUAUGUUGACAGGUGCCUGAAAUGCCUCCAGCAUCUCAGAAACCCCGUGACCGCAUGAACCCCUGGGAUUUUCAGAGGAAGAGGCUUUUUAAAAACAUAGUCGGUAUUCGUGCUUCUUUGUUGUAAGGAAAGUCAAGGGAGCUCGGAGUGAGCUGUUCAAGCUAAAUGCCGCUCAAAGUCAGUAGCAGAUCGUAUAACAGAGAUGUCAUGAGAUUCUCACUGCAGUGCAGACUGAAAACCAGAUUGAAAAGCCAUUUGGUUUCUGCAUUUCUUCAUGAUUUUAUAUAUACCAAAUCUUUACAUUUUUCUCGCUGUGACUGACAACAAAAAUGCCAGAUGAACAGAUGGUAGCUCUCUGAGUCCAAUAACAACAACCUAUGUGGGUCUCCAUCUGUUGGAGGGCAUUUUCAGUUUUCAGUAUCAGUUUUUCUGCCAUUUUUCUAUACAUCCUGCCAGCAGUAGGGAGAUAAAUGCCUCCAUCCUUACCCUGCUUAAAAGCUGAGAGUCCCCAGCUCAUUAAAACCAUACCUGCUGCAGUCGUUCACCAAACUCAUCGUCUAUGCUGCAGAGUUGUCAAAAAACCGUUUGCAUUUUGAUACCAUGUUCUCUACCGCGACACAAAUGCAGUUGUGUCAACUGUCUGACGGUUUGAAUGUGACAAGUGUUUACAAAAUCUACAGAUCAUCAGUCAGAUUUUUGACCCAAAACUGUCACACUUAAAAUAGAGCGAGCACUGCUUAUGAAAACAAGGUGGAAAAACAGGAAAAUAAUGCUGUUUUUUAUUGUUUUAUGGGCAUUUUUCUUUGUAAAACAAACAGGCCCACAUCUUCUCCAAACCGACAGGAAAGGACUAGACUUUGUUUAAAUGCAGCAGGAAUACUUCAUGCUGCUCCAUCUAUAUGUCUGAUUUGUGAAAUGUUGGCUUUGCUUUUUCCACACCACUGCUCAAUAAAUCACCAACAGCAACAUAACAAUACAUAUAGAUGGAGGGCAGAUUCACAAGCCCCACCAUGUAUGAACUAGAAUAUAUAGAAUUAUGUACGGUCAACCCUGCAGUGGUUAAUUCUCAACAGUAAAUACUAUGCCAGAGUUGACCUCAUCACACACAUCAUGCCAAGCUCAUCUGUGUGCAGAGUCCAGCAAAUGUCCCACCUGCCUGUUAACACUGUGGCAAAUACUUAGAUUCCAUUACUCACUCCAUACUUAUGUUCCAAAUUAUAAACGUGCUGGCCAUAGACUGUUUUAUUGACAACUUGGUUCUGCCUUCUGUCAUUAUACGAAUCUGAAACCAAAUUGUUCUCGGUAUUUCCGGGAUUUUCUCUCCUUCCUGGAACCGCCACUUGUGCAGUAGCGUUGUACACAUUCUGUGGGAGAGUCCCCAAGAGUCGCUGUGAUGACACUCAGCUCAAACAGCGUAAACCCAGGGUGAGCUAUGCAAUCUUCAUACGCCCAUAUCAAUCAUAGAAAACAUGAACCCCCCUGAUAACUUUUAAAAAUGGAGCUGCACAGACAAAAGAGGACUUGAGCACAAACCAGUCUUACAGUAACUACAUGUCAACAUCGCAACCGGGGGGAGAAACAAACAUAUUCUGUGUAAUAAAUUUCUAAAGUUAGUCAACGGCUCCAUAGGGAUUGCUGGAGGAGGUGGGAUUUAUGACCUCUACUGCAGCCCGUCACCAGAGGGUGCUGUUCUCAGGGGGGCUUCACCCAGCGAGGAGGCAGACGUGCUUUCAAAUGACUCGACAAUUUUUUUCUUGCCAGCAAAACCCUUUCAAAUUUCAUUUUCUAUUAACAAUAUGUCAGAUGUUGGUUGUUGGUUUCUACCAGCCUUGUGUACAAAUUUGUAAUUUAAAAACAAGAUUAUUACCAAACUUUUGUCACCAAGGAGUUCUGUAGAAAACUGUUUUUUGAUGUGGUUUGGUUUAGACUGUUGUCAUUUCUUUCUUUCUUUCUUUCUUUCUUUCUUUCUUUCUUUCUUUCUUUCUUUCUUUCUUUUUCUUUCUGUUUUUAUUAUUCAGAGUAACAAUAACUGGGCCACACCUAUCUUGCAUUAUUUGAUGAAUUGGACCUUUUAUUUUCUAUUGUUAAGAAAAUGUGUUAUUCGAUGAAAAAGGCUUGUUGUAGUACACCCGGGAAUACUUGAAUCUCUUUGAAAUGGGGCCCUAACCGUAAGCGUAUAAGCACCCUGUUAUGAUGUUGACUUAUUUAUUUAUGAUACAUGUACUUCAGAGCACCCAUCAAAGCAAGACGAGUCAAACUGAUGUAGGAUCAAGAGGUCCUCAUCAUAUAUUUCCAUGUUCUCUACUGUAAAUAGGAUGUUUAAUAUUCUAUCAGCUCGCAGUAUAGAUUUGAUUUGUUGUGAUGUUGUGUUUAAACAAGCCUAUAACCACAUCCAGACCUGCAUGUUGAUGUGUGAAAGCUAAGAAAACCAAUUAAAGUAAUGCUGGAAUAAUCUCCUCUAUAUUUCCCCUAGUUUGUUUGGACCAACCAUGAUAUCCACUUGUUUUUAUUUUUCUGAAUAAGACAUUUAUAAUCAAUAUGAGUCUUAGAUUACCUGUCAUUAUUUAUCAGUAUGCUGCUUAUCAUCGACAAGCCAAGGUUCAGGUUGUAAGAACCUGUUUUCGACCAGUUUUCAGGUAAAGUGUCUCUUUGCAUUGACAUCCUUGUAAUUAUUUGUAGGUAAAGGUGAUGUUGAGUUGGCUUGACAGGUCCAGACACACUGCGAGAUAACAAAUUGAUCAUGAAUUAAUGAGGUCACUACUAAUCAAAAAGUCCCAUGCUGAAGUCUGAAUGUAUUAGUGCGAUCCAACAUGUGGCUAGAAUUACAAGAUUUAGUGGAGGAUCCUGAGAAGUGUCAAGGGGGGCCGCAGGUCAAAGGUCAAAGAUUAAGUAGGAGUUGAGAAAGAGCAGAUAUGCUUGGAUGGAUUACAAUUCAUUAAAUUCUCUGAGCAUGUUUUUUUUACUUAAAUGGGUUGUUAAGUUGGGUUUCCUGGGGCUAAUGUUGUCAUUUUUUGCUUACAGUAUCCUCUGGAUGAAUCUGAAAAGAGACAGAUUUGUUUAUAUGACAAAUAUGUUCCUGAAGUCUUCACAGAUGUCUCAAAUCCCCUUACAGAUGGGUUUGAAAUUGAGAUUAAAACAUACCACUGCGUUUUCAGUGACAAUUUUCAAUGAAUUAUGUUUCCACCUGCCGUGACACCCACAACACUCUUCCUAUUUUCUAAGCAGGGAAAUUGUUUAUCCAUCAAUAUAACUGAUUCUGAUUGAAGUAGCUGAAGGAGUACUUUGUUAGGAAAAUUGAGUGCUAUUGCAUAUAAUUAUCUCCUACUGUCCUAUGCCGAUAAGGGGGAAAAAUGGCUGUGUCCAAAAAAUGUUAAUCCGGGUAUUAGACAAGAGAGAAGAUGCAUGUCUGGGAAUUAGUUUUCAAACGUUUUCAUUAAAGUCCUUUGAUUGAAAUAAGUUCUUUAGCUGAGAAAGUUUGCAAGGCUUUCUCUUUGCUUUAUUUACGACUGACCGAGUGGUGUUUGGACUGUAACUGCAGAGUGGCGGAAACUGUUCAGACUACAAAUGAAGAGCGUACAGUCUUAAUAAUUGCCUACACUAGAAUAUCUGAGCAAAUGUGCUGUUAUCUGUGAGAGCUUUUAAGCCAUUGUCUAAAGGCAGAAUCUAACAGUCCAAUGGGACUGGAGGCACUAAUCUGCAGUUUUCAAUAUCUUAAAACAAAGCCAUAAUAUUGCUUUUGUGCUUUAUUGUCACUGUUUAUCGUUUUACAGUAAUUGAACAAAUCUGAAUGAGGCAUCACAAAGUGCUUCUGCAAACAAAGAAAUAAAACACUGACUAAACUAAAGCACGGGCGAGUGCUCACUCAUCAUGCACCAACCUAAUUCUGUUCCACUCAAAACAAUUAAACUCCCUCUCCACUCACUUUUUAUUACAUCGCUCGGCACUUUUCUUCUGUGUAAACAAGUAAAGAAUAUUAAUGCGCUUGUCAUUUUUCCAAGUAUUCUUGACAGGCAAGAGAGAGACAAGACGUAGUUACCAGAUAAAAGUUAUUUCAUUUUUAGACAUUUUUAAAGUCACUGGAGUUAAUCAUAGAUAGAAACUGGACUGCUGUGUAACUAUCUUUAACUUGCCUCUGACAGGUGAUUUCAAUAUCACUUCAAAGAUGCCAGUCUGAUGUUAACAUGCAUCAAUUAUAUAAAAUACAUCAUGUUAAAAGUUUUUCUGCUAGUCAAAUGUCAAGUUAUUUAAAAGUAUCUAUGAAAAAAGGGGGUGUUUCUGCCUGGACUAGUUUUGCCUGCCGUAUUGCUUAGAAGGCUAUGAGGUUUUCAGCCAUGAGAAAAAGAGCGAAUUAAAAACUGCUGUCCAAUACAUUUGACAAAUGUCUAAACCAUGAAUGAGUGUUUAUCUACAUGUCCCACAAAUGGGGACCGUCUACAUCAAAUUUUACCCAUUUUGAGAGCAACUCAAGCAACAGUGAGGAGUUUUUGCACAGAUUACAAUCCGUGUAAUCAGAUUUGAAAACCGUGCACACGUUUACAUAAGGUCCUUUCUUUCUUGACCUUCUACCCGGGGUCUCAGUUGGCCUUGAGUCUGACAAGUUUGAAUGUUUCAGCCUCCCUCACAGAUGCAGAGACCUGAGCAGGACCAUCAGAAACAACUCGGUCCACAACGGCUCAUAUUCAACCAGUCAUAAUGGGUGUGAAUACACAAGACCCAGUCAGUGCGUUUGCAUGUACAGUUAGGUCAAGUUGCGGUCAUAGUUCAGUUAGGCGAUUCAUAGUUCAAUUAGGCAAUUCAUCUGGAUCAGUGACCCAGUUUACAAGCACUGGGCACUGUGGUGACAUGCCCACUUUGUCAUCUCUUGAUUGACUUAUUUUUAAAAAUAAUUGGCAAAACCUGUUAGCAAGAGGGUGAUGGGAUGUACAUUAAACAAAAAGACCGUCACUUUUACCUUUUUACCUUUUGUGCGGUGGGUAAAAUUAGACAUUUUUAUAUCCCUGCUUUGUCUCGUCAAGGUUUUGUUUACUACCCAUUAGUGUAAUUCAACUUCCAGCUCAAAGCCUGGCGUGCAAAAACUGGAGCAUAUGCAGAAUGCUGCGGCUGGUUUCAGACUGAAAGUGCCAAAUAUGUGGAAGAUAAAAUCAAUCCCCAUCCUCAUUUUCUCUGUAUGUUUGUCUAACUAUGAGAAGUUCAAUUUAGUAGGAUUUCAGACAGACUUGUGUGUUUACAUGAUUUUUAAAAGUCCAGUCUAAGGCGAUAAAUCGAUAUCAUUGAAUGAUAUGUAAAGAUAUCAUAUACUAAAGCAGUGACCUGGUAGGUUUUGUUUGUUGUUGUUGCAACAUAAUGAGAUAGCAUGCCAUUUUUUUUAAGUCAGUAAAUUAGUCAUUGCCCCAAAGCCCUAAAGAAGGUUAAUUGGUAUUAAAAUAUAGAUACUGCCCAACUCAAGCUAUAACAUCCCACAAGAUAGGCAUGAUCAGUAAGAAUGGUUUUACCCCAACCAGGAAGAAAGGACUGGGUCUAUGAAGUGUUUCUCUGAAUCUCGAUUGGAAUCCCGAUUCUCUUCUCAUUGAUGUACUGAAACAGAAUUUUCAUCUUGAUUGAGCCUUCAGUCAGAUUGGCUGUGGUCAAUGUAAUGUCCAUCAUAAAAGAAUCAAGUCAAAAAGUUGUUGGAGCUUCUCUCUCGUUUUGCUGUUUUUCAUGGAGUGAAAAUAUUGAAGGUUUUGAAGAACUUGAACAGGCUAAAAAAAAGGAAAAAGUAUUUCUAACUUGAGGAUGUACAAGAGCUCAAAAUUAAACUCAAUCUCUUUUUGAAGGCCACCACAGAAAGACACUUCAAAAUUCAUCAGCGUUUCUUUUAAUUCUUUGAGAUAUUUGGUUUUUCAAUGUUUGGAGACAAGAACAAGGCUAUCAGGGGUACUUAUGUUAAGACCUGUUUUGAACUUUCAUUUUAAUUUCCAUCUUUGGAUAUAUUAUUUUCAUUUUGAGGUCAGUUUUGAAUGUUUUCGCUGCUGGUUUUUGUUGGUUUGGCUAACUUUGUUUUUUUUUUCUUCAAACAUGCUUAGUUAUUAUACAAUGUAGUCAGACAUAAAAGAUGAUCAACCAGAACCAUGUCAAAUGAUGUCCUCCACUUUUUUUUGUUUGUUUGUUUCACAUGGAGCUUGAAUUAGUGAUACUCUGUUCUGCUUUUUUUUAACCCUCUCCUCCCUAUUCUCGACUUUGACCGUUACGGCUGUCCACAGUUUCAGGAAGAGGAGGGUCUGUCAGCUACUUCAGCUAGUUACCAAGCUCCAUAAUUAAUCCAACAACAGGACAAGUUCACACAGACUAACCAAAAGAACUGUUUGUACUAUCAAAUCCUGUCUCAUCACCAUGUUCAAGUCAUUUGUCUUUAACCAAGCUUUUUUUUUUUUCUUAGACAGGGAGAGGGUUGAAGAAAAAUGGAUGGUGCAACAGAGCUAAUGAGCUACAGUUGUUCGCCCAUUUAUCUCUUCUAAAAAGUAAUCAACACUGUCAAGAUCUCUUUCUGUUCGUGAACGGUGAAAAAGUGUAGCGGAGUUCACCAAAGUUGGACACAAAGCGAAACUCGUGGGCUGCUUUACUAUGCCCUAUCCAAGAGGUAAACACUACAAAUAUAUGAAAUUAAAUACAUUUCAACUAAAAAAUCCACUACUUUAAAUCUCUGUGUGAUUGGCCUCUGACUUUUCUGCACAUAUUUGUACUUUUCAACUAUAUUUUAGAGCAUUUUCCAAACGAACAUGCAUCCCAGAGUGUCUCACAGAAGAAUAAUCAUGACUAGUGCUAAUGUGGGUGUGUUUCAUAAUUAAUCACCAACUAACUCCCGCUGAUGAGAUAGUACAUUACCUCCAGGCAGCACUUUGAUUGUGUGCUACACAAAGUUGGCUCUUGCACAAGUAAAUGUCAGUGUGUGUGUGGUCAGGAGUUGGCCUACUAACCUAGCCGUGCAGCUUUGACCUUUGACCCUCUCUCAGGACAGCACCUAGGGCCCCUCUUGAACUUGUUAACAGCUUUCCCAUGUCUGUGGGCUGAGCUGCAGUGAUUUAUCCUCUGUGCCCCGACUACAAGGAGCACCACAGGGUUGAAAGAUGAUUGUCCUCCAGAGCAGGGGAAUAAACUGUGCUAUGAUGGUGUCAGGAACCCCAGCUGGUGCAGAGAGCAGACUCUAUCACAGACACAAAGGAGAGAUGACCUUUAAUCAAAGCAGGGCCAUUCAUAAUGCUGCUAGUAUCUAGUCAUUUUUAUAUUACGGUUUAACAUGGUAAUUAUUGGCUCUCUUCACAAAAUAUGCAGACUGUAGGACAUUUCAGUCAAUCCAAACAUUAUGGAUGUUGCUCUGCAGGAAUUUCCUCAGUAAUGACACUUACCAUCAAGGCAGUAUCAUCUGUAAAGCCACUUUAAAUGUCUCUCUUUAGAAAUAGAAACCAUUUAACACAUCUUGUGGAUGUUUAGUGAAAAACACAGCAUGACUAUAUAUGUUGCAGAAGGGAUUUCAGUUAUUUUAAAGUCUUAUUGUAUUAAAAAAAAAACAUUUGGUAGCAAUUUACUUGACGCCUAUGUCUAUAAAGCAUCAUACAUAUAUGUAUAAUGCAUAAUAAUCACGUUAUAGCACUGUAUAACUAUAGUUAUAAACACUCAAAUGAUCAUAACGCUUUAUAGCAAUUUAUCAUGACUUAUAAGGUUGGGUAUUAUAAUGUGUUAUAACUGUUAACAACUCACUGACAAUGCCUACAUUGAUAAUGCAUUGUACAUGUAAUUAUGAUGUGUUAUAAUUUGCUUAUAAACUUGUAUAACUAUCACUAUAAACACUCAUUAUUUAUCAUAAGGCUUUAUAACAAUAAGCAUAAAACUGACUUUGUAAGUCAUGAUAAAAUGCUUUAUAAUGUGUUAUAAUUAUUGCUAUAAAGCAUUAUGAUCAUUUAUGAGUGUGUAUAGCUAUAGUUAUACAAUGCUAUAAUGUGAUUAUAAUGCAUUAUACCUAUAUUUAUAAUGCUUUAUAGACAUAGGCGUUUUUAAUUGAGUUUUCACAUGUAUAGGCAAAAACAAUACAGCAAACAAGGUACAAGUAACAAUAAUAACACUAACAAACUGUCUGGAGUUACGAUUGUUCAGUUCACUGUUCGAUACAGCAUUUGUUCAGUUGGUGUCAUGGCUCAUAAAGUUUUUCGAUUUUUCCCAGUUUUUUUUUCAAAUACGUUCUCUUUGAGUCUCAACAGGUAUGUCAAUUUUCCCAUAGUAAAUAUUUCCUGGACAAUUUCCAACAACUGCUCCUGGUUUGGAGUGUUCACAUUGAGCCAGUUUCUUGUGACUGCUUUCUUGCUUGCUGCGAGUAAUACAGUCAAAUCAAGUACAGAUCUGUAAUUUUUUAUGCCACAUCCUUGAUCCUGUUUUGGCUUUACUAUCAAGGACCGUUUGCGCUGUUGAUCUUCUUGCACAGUCUACAACUGAUACCUACAGAAAUUCAGAGUCAUGUACUCACUAAACUCACCGUCAUUUAAAUGUAGGAAGAAUCUUGAGUUACCACAGUCAAGUAGUAGAGGGGAAAACAGGUUAAUCUCCAAACAGAGAUGCACAGCACGCUGUCAGGAUUGAAAUGAGUAUUUUGCUGUAGGGUGUGCACAUGUCACCCUAGAGUUAAAAGAUUGUCGUUGUCAACUCGUGGCUUUUAGGAUGUCCUCAAAGUUGUUGUUUUUGCCAGAGGGCUUUUGAAAAGCUUUAUGGUGAAAAAGAUGACACUCACACCAAAUACUUUAAGAUUUUUUUCAGAAGUGAAUGCAGGAAUAUAAGAGGGGGAAAAAAAUAAGAAGGAAAGCUCCUGUAGGGAACUUUAAGUGUGGGUUGACUUUGGCGCCCCCUGUGGAUAAACUGAAACCUUAUCUCUUCAGUUUGAUCGUUUUAAACACAAACAUUAUCUCGAUAUAUUUUAAUGAAUAGCCCAGUCAGCACAUUGACACAAUGUUAAAAAGUGAUUUAGUGCAUUAGUUUUGCUAAAAUAGAAAUUUUGAAACACAAAUCUAAACAGAAAUUAACUAAUUGAUCAGGUCAAUUAAUGACAUUUUACAAUAAAUGUCCUCUGCCAAUAUCUGGGCUGAUUAAGUCAAUUAAAGAAAAACAACAAAUCAAGUCUACAGCCAGUUUUACCAAUGUUUUUAAUAUAAAAAAUGAGAAAAAAACAGGCUGUUUCUGCAGUGCUACGUUUGACACCUACUGCAGAGAUUUGAGGCACCAACACUCAGAAUACAGAAACAGUUGGUCUUCCUCAAGAUGCUCUCGUUUGCUUUUGUGGAGCAAAAAAAGAUUCAUCAAUAUUAAUUACAGCCCAGUUUAAUCACCUCAAAGGAGCUUCAAGGAAUUUAUAUCGAGACUUUUAUUUAAAUAAGAGAUUAACAGUGAGCUAUUAGAUAUCCUUCAGAAAGAUUCAAUGGCAGAAAAAGAAGAAGAACUCAAGAGCUGUAAGGUGCUACAUUACAGCGCUCCAAACAUAAACACUAGUUGAGGAUGAAGAGCUAUAAUCUAUUGUCGACAAUUUUGUACCUCCAGCAGUGCCAUCAUGUCUCACUGCGGUUAGCUCCAGUGUGUACUAAAUCAUGUCCACCCACGCACACUGCAUCAACACACCCACGCCCACCGCCCACUGACGAAUCUGUCACGGACGCUAUCAAUGACAGUCCGCUUGCUCUGUUAGGAGAGCAGAAGUGUGUGUGUGUCUAUGUGCGUGUGCGUGUGUGCUCCUGUGUGUGCGCAGUAAGCAUGUGUUUGUAUUUAUCUGUUGUGUGUUUGCAUGUGGAGGAGAGACGGAGCAACAAAGCUUUGCUAGCAUGACAUGCUAAAUCCUCUUUGCUGUUAUGAUUGCUUCAUUUAAUCUCAUUUUGAAAAAAUGGGCCAUUUGAUGGAAUUAAAAAAAAAGAGUUUAAGAAAGCAAGUAUUUGCUGCUGAAGUUGAUCAUACUUCAGUGUACAGACUUUUUUUUUCCCAUUGUCUCUUUUAAGAGAAUCUGUAGAGCCCACUGGGGAACAAAAAGCCGCUGUACACUUAGCAAAGAUGAAGGGGAAUGAAGUCAUUAUCUCUGAUGUCUCUUUUAACUGCUGCUGAUGUGUACUCAACCCACACUCUCUCUCCCCAACUCCCCACCACCACCACUACCUCUCUCUCUAUCUCUUCUUUAUUUGACGUAAUGCUGAUAAAUUAGCCCGUUCUUACCCGCAGUGUUUCUCAUUCUGAGUGGCCCCGCUGGAUUUACUGGUGCUCUCUCUUUUUCCUCUCUCUUUGUGCGAUUGGUCACAAGAAGAAACAGGUUCAGGCAGUGCAGCAGGACUGAAGGUCAUUUGUGAAGGGCUAAAAAGACUUGAAAAUCUCAGGGAGAGCGGGUCAUUUGGGUUCACAGACCCAGAGGUGACACUCUCACCUUCUUUUGUGCUCGUUAAAUGAUUUAUUUUUUAUUUCAGCUGCUUCAUGCCUGCAGAACGCCUUCGUAAAUGAAAAAUACCGGAGCUUUUAUAGCGUCGAGAGGAACAGCAGAGCUGCUAAUUUUUACCAAGGAGACUUCCAACUCUUUAAAGUGCUGUUAUUGAUGUAAAUGAAUGCUAUUAUUCUCCCAGUGGUUUUCUGGAACAUUACUAUAAUUACCAUAAUUAUAUACUGUUAAAAAACAAAUUUGCUGAACAACUGGAGCAAUAUCUCCACCGCCUCGCUGUUUUUUCGUGUACGCUUGCACAUUUUUCUCCAGACGCACAAACACUUUUAGCCAACUUCUCAUUCUCAUUCCCCUGGAGAGCAUUUUUCCUUUUUCUACGGCUCGACACUUCUUUUUAAGAGAAGGAAAGAAAGAAAGGGUGGGGUGGGGAUGGGGGAAUAGGAAAAGAAAGAAACUGCGUGCAAGUGAGAGAGUGAUAUCGCCGGCUGCUGUGUGUGACGCUGGGAUCCUGUAUCUGGGUCAGGCCUCCCAGCCUGGUUCAGGCAUCAUGUGAGAUCCUACUGGGACAACUCUUUAACAUCAACAUGGGUGAAGAGGAGACGGAUUUUUAAGAAUCUUGUUCUGCAGGUGUGGUGUGGCAGAUAAAAGACUUUCUCCCAACACAGCCUAGUAGAGAUUCAUCAGCAGCACAGUGGGUCUAAAACAUUCACAGACCAGCUGGUGCUCUCACAGCUCUGACGCCACAAAAUUACACUUGAGAUCCUCCCACUUAAGCCUGUAUUUUUUUUUUUCUCUUACACAAUCCUGAAGUGAAAAAGUAAUGGUAAAAGGCAGCCGUGCACACCCUUGACUCACUCCAUCGAGCCAUGCCCUUCUGUUAGCCAGAGCCUCUGGGGUGCAGGCCUGUUGAUGUACAUAGUUUAAUCAAAGUGGCAGGGCUGCCUGGGCUGACAGGCCGUGUUAUUUGAGCACAUUGCUCGCCAUGGCUGGCUGUCCCGCUCUCUGCUUCCCUGAACAUGGGAGUCAGUGAUCAGUGCGAGGGAGAGCAACCGUGUUUCUUGUUUUCUGGUGCAUAAACCUCAGUUAGAAAAGUACUCCUACUUGAGAGUCAAGAGCAAGAUGGCUGUAAUGGUUUUAUUGAAUUAAGUAUGGAUCUGUUUAUCGCUGGAUUAUUUAUCCCGCCUCAUCACAUGUGUGAAGUGCAACCUCCCCUGGGUAUCAGACAUGUCAUGGACAGUAGAUUAACAUAAUCUUGAGAGAUACCCUGUUGCAUUUUGAUGCUGGUUCUCAUAGUGCAACUCCAAAAACACAACAGAUGUAUCCAACUAACCCUGAAGUGAAUAUGACAGCUCUUGAUUUUGUAUUGCCCGUGUGGAAAUCUCUUCUGAUCAGGACCAAUUUGCACAAAGAAGUGUUGAACUUUUUAUUUACUGAAUAGUAUACCAUCCAGAAAUGAAGAAGCGUCUGAUAAAAUAAAGAUUAUAAACCAAUUAUUGAAGGAAAAAUCAUUGUUGUGUUUGUAGAAGUUUUUCUUUUAGAUUUCUCUUACUUUUAUCUUCUUAGGAGCCUUAAAAAUCAACUGAAUUUUAGCUAGACGCUGCUUUUACGUCUGCGGGUAAUUGGUUCUUAUAAAAAUAAAAAAACUCAGACGCAACAGUCACCGACAGUGUUCCCACAAAUUAGCUGCGUCUGCUUGGACUUGAAAGAAACAUGUAUUAUUAUAUAAACUAAUUCAUUGCCUUUCAAAGGGAUCGAGCUUUCUGUGAUAAUAGAAAAAAAAGUAUUCUGUCUGUAUGUUUCAAGUUAAACCGUCGUAUUUAAUCCUAAAUCUGUAAAUACAGUUUACAAUAGAGUAUAAUGAAAAUAAUAAUGAUAAAUUUAUUUAUGUAGCGGCUUUAAAAACAGAAUAUUACAAAGUUUUUUUGGAUAGAUUUAGUAAGUCUCAGGUCUUCGCACAGGCUCCCAUUUUGAGCAGUUUACAUGUUUUUUUCAUAGAUUAUGACAACAUACGUUAACCAUGUAAUUCAAAACUUAGCAUACAUUUAGCAUGGACUGGCUGUAUCAAGUGUCAAUAAUAGAAAACAUGAACCCCCUAAUAACUUUUAAAAAUGGAGCUGUACAGAAAAAAGAGGACUUGAGCACAAACCAGUCUUACAGUAACUACAUGUCAAAACCGCAAGCAGGAGAGACAAAAAUUUAUGUUCUGUGUAAUAAAUUUCUAAAGUUUGUCCAAAACUCAAUAAGCUUUUUCUGACGGAGGCAGAAUUUAUGACCUAUACUGCAGCCCGUCACCAGAGGGUUCUGUUCUCACAGUGGCUUCACCCAACAAGGAGGCAGACUCUGUCCAUUCUAUAUACAGUCUUUAGUAUGGACACUAAACUUUGUAACUUUGCAGGUUUUGUUAAUGUGGAAAAGCACAAUAAUCCCUCCCCUUUAAAUAUCAUAAUCAAAAAUAAAGAAAAUAAAUUAGAAUAUCAUAAAUUAAUGGCAACAGUCAAACGUAACCCAUUGUGUGGGUGCAAGAAAAAGGUAUAUUUCUCUGAUGGAGCUAAUUAUAUUCAAUCAAUGCAUUGAGCGGUAUACUUGCCAACACCUAGCGCCACAUUUCAGGCAGUAUUUUCGAUCCGUGUAUUUCAACUCGAACAAUUCCAUAUCAUUUUCGCAGUGGAGUGGAGUGCACCAGAUUAUGGUUAAAUAACAUUUUGUGUGAAUCAUUAAGUGGGCAUAAAAUGACGUCUCCUUUUAAGUAACUUUUCGUUGUGCUUGUUAGUGUUCCUCACAGAAUAACAGCUUGUGUAAGGUCUUUUUUUGGGCUGUUAAGUGCUGGCAUGCUCAAGCUGGCAGCCAGCAACUCCUUGUGACAGUAAGGUGGCACAUGUCAGACCUGUAACUCCGCUCAACCGAAGAGAGCUAGAGUGCAAAGUACUGCUGGAAGAGCAAAAUUUUGGAGAAAAAGUGAGUUUAAAAAAUCUGAAAGCCUGAAAGAAAUUGAAUAACAGUAUCCCUGCCCAUUGUUUCAGCUAUUGCUGUGCCCUGACAAAUGUCACUGAAUUCAUUACCGUUUUGUGUAACCAAACAAAACACAGCACCUCUGAUAGAAAAAAGGUUUUAUUCUUUGUCUUUUGGACUCGUGGUUAUGUUUAAAUCCUUUUCUCUAUAUUCUACAACCUUGACUUGUAUCAGAAAUCUUUAAACAGUUGUCUUCAAUAAAAAGCAGCAGACUGCUUUGGGCUGAGAGCUUUUGUAUAAUCUUACUGAAUAGGGGUUUGAAUAGGCGAAUGAAUGGCAGAAUUUGUGAAGCUCUUUGUCUUGUAGGUAGAAAAGAACCGUGAAAUGAAGUCCAUUUGCAUUUAUUUAGCAUUUAAUCUUGUCAAAUAACUAUUAACAUUAUGUCCAGAUAAUGUUAAACUCUCUAAUCACAGCCUGACCUGUAGGAAUUGAUUGCUAACUAAAUGUUAGAAAACUGAUGUGUCAGUCCUUUACAACUUGGGGCCAAGCUGAAUUCAUUUAAACACUCAGGCUAUAUCUGUAUAGCAAAGAUCAAGGUUGUUUUCUUUAAGGCUUUAAAACAGCUUUAAUAUGAAUAAUGAAGCUUCGUGAUUUAAGUAAAACUGCCUACAACACCACAUGUGGAUAAUGUGAGGGUUUUAGUGAGCUGCUGGCGGUGCUGAGUUUAGUACUAAACCAACAGAGUUUAGUGUUUCCUGUGCUCAGUGUCAGUUUCAUAGACUGUACAACUAUGGACAACUUAGUUCCGUCUUCUGCCAGUAUACGGAAUUGAAGCCGAAAAACUCUCGGUAAUUGCGUGUUUUUUCUCCACUUCCUGAAACCAAGAGUGCGUCGUAGUGUUGUACGCAUUUGGCAAGAGAGUCGCCAAGAGCUGCUGUGAUGACGCUCGGCUCAAACAGCGUAUCCCCCAGGGUGAGCUAUGCAAUCUUCUUACGCCCAUAGGCUGUAUAAGGUGUCAAUCAUAGAAAACAUGAACCCCCUAAUAACUUUUAAAAAUGGAGCGGUACAGAAAAACGAGGACUUGAACACAAAUCAGUCUUACAAUAACUACAUGUCAACAUCAGAAGCAGGGGGGAGAAAAAUUUAUAUUCUGUGUAAUAAAUUUCUUAAGUUUGUCCACACCUCCAUAGGGAUCGCUGGAGGAGGCGGGAUUUAUGACCGAUACUGCAGCCCGUCACCAGAGGGUGCUGUUCUCGGGGUGGCUUCACCCAUCAAGGAGGCAGACGCUGUCCAUUCUCAGUGUUUCCCCUACAUUCAUUCAGCAGUGGCGAAUUACGUGCACCGCUACUGAAAUUUCACAUAAUCAGUAAUAUCAAUGCAAAUGAUUUCUACUCGCUCUGUGUGAGCAGAAGAACACGCAACAUUAUUUUCGGCUUGUUUUGAGUCAUCCACAGGCGCAUCAAAUCGUGUCGAACCCUCUUCUAUCAACGCAAAAGGUAACGCUCAAGCUUAUAUCGUUUAUAUAACAAGUAGCAUUAAAAGCAUUAGUAGCACUCACACUGUGUGAGCACAACAAGACACAAUGUUAUUUCCGACUUGUUUGAAGUCUUUAACGAGCGCAUCAAAUCCUGUCGGACCCCCCCAACACCACCACCACCCCCAGACACAGAAGCUGCUGACCAAAAUUCUAGGGGAAACACUGAUUCUAUAUACUGUCUAUAGUCAGAGCUAAGUUCAGAGAAGGCCUUUUAUUUUAAAUUGAUUCAACUUAUUCGACAGUGUCAUGUCAGUGCCAAUCAAAUCCAAAAAGAGGCGGGACUUCUGUUAUUAACUUUGUCAAAAACAAUGGCAGAAGACAUUAUUUAAGAGAAACCAACCACACUCUUUCCCCCAAGGCUACAAUUUCCAGGGACAGAAAUUACUGCUAAUGCUAUGAUAUCAGAUUUAUUUGUAAAAAUCAACCAGAUCAAGAAGCACACAGUGUAAUUUAAAACAGACUUAACAGUCAUAACUCGCUGUAGCUGUAGUGCCGAGGUUCAACUUUUUCACCAUAGCAACAGUUGGCGCUAUAGGGAAGUGCUCUGCAAUUGAGGUCACUGAGCCUGUAGCACAAGAUACUGUCAGUGGGCCCAUAAGUUUGAAGUCAGAGCAAGCUCACAUUUAUUAACAUAGUCAGUGUGAUCAUAGCAAGAAACAACCACUAAAUGUUCAAUCUCUGUUCCUGCAGCUUGGAAAGGAUUAAUAAUUAGGAUUUAAAGAGCGAAAAAAAACAUGUGCUAUGAUUCAAAAAAAGAGUUGGAAAUUUGUGUAAAUGUAGAUCAAGUUUGUGGCUGAAUUCAGAAUGGAUGCAUACUAAUGUAAAAAAGUUCAAGUGCCAGUUCCAACCCUGAAUAUCUGCAAUUUAAUUUUCAGAAACUGAAAAAAGAUUCAGUUUCUGUUUUUAUCAGCUUUUAUACAGUGCCUCAUCAUUUUCCAAACAGGGUUUUAAAGAGAUUCAAAACUGUUUUUAUGGGCUACCUUUGCAUUACCCUCCCACAGACUUUAUUGCCCUGAAGACAAGUGAAACAAAAUAAGCAGAUUUGGGCUUCAUCAUCUAAAUUUCUUAUUUUCUUGGAUCAAUAAUUGUAAUUUUAAUUUUUUUUAAAGUUUGCCGUAAUGUGUAUUCUGCAGCCAAGUAACUAUUUCUGGAUAUUUGUGGUGGAGAUUCAUGCGAGUCCUGCUCUGCAAAAGUAUUCUCCUAUUUGGCAUUAUUCUGGUGGCAAUUUUCGAGCAUCUGUUCAUCUUUUCGUUUUUGGACAUUUGCCUAUGUGAGGUCUGUUAGUUAACGGAGAAGAGUUUUCUCUGGACAAACUAUUACAGGAGUUUAGCUGUAAAUUGAAGACAGUUUCUGGCUUAUUCUACUUGUAUAAAAAAUGAGUCACAAGGCCUGAUCAGUGCAACCUCAUACAGAGUUGAACACAAUCAUUCCAAUCAGAGCCAGGACUGCUGGGUAAAGUACAAAGACUCAGCACACCACCACCCACUAUGGUCACCCUGCCUUAGUAGCCUUUGGAUGCUGGUAAAUGGGCAUGACAUCCAGCAUGGUGAGUCAGUCUAAUAAGCUUUGUAAGUGAGUAGGCAGCAGUCGGGUCAUCUCAGCAGGACCUCAUUUCUUUGGCUCUACAAUCCAGUGCCUUUGAUCUGUCUGUAUCUGUAGGGACAGUACUGCGUCAUUUAAAGGUCCUGUUAGUGUCGACUCUGAGUGAUUGUGAUGGCGUACAAAAGAGGCAAGUGAGAGCUGAGAGCUCACAAAGGAAAAAGGCAAACAUGAGCGUGAAUAGACACGGACAAAUCAAUCGCCAAAAGAUCUUUGGCUGUUCCAGUUUUCACAGACUGGAAUUAGUGCUUCAAAAGCAAUAAUAAGUGCCUCCUUAUCACAUUCCCAAACACUCCUAUUCCUCCCUCUUUUUCUCCCUUGCCCACGUGUGCAAAAAAAAAAAAAAAAAACGCAUGCAUGCACGCUUGCUCAUCCCUGUUCUGCAGCACUAAUUACUCGAAAUGAAAAAAGCUCUCCUUUGGGGCACCAAUUUCACCCAGUGUCUGAUGAGCAGAAAUUACAUGUCUAAUGGAAUGGAAUACUUGUGCAAAUUGAAGAAAUGAAACACACUUUUUUUUUAAUCUUCAUGCUACACUAAAUUAGAUUUUAAUUUGGACCACACUCACACACUACAGUGCAGUGAGACUUCUUCAGCAUCUCUCCUAAUUGCCUGUGGCUUUUUUAUUUCUGCAGGUCACUUGCUGUAUCCAUUACCAACUCCACCAUCCGCCGUUUUUAAGAGAUCCCUCAUGAGGUUGAGACUACGAUGUCAAGACAGCUACAGUCAGCGUCAAAGCGAAGCCAUUUUCGUG